rnacentral:lncRNA from 1 species
UAAGAAAAAUUUGGGAAGACAUUCUAUCUGAUCUCAACAUCUUAACAGAAGUUGACAAGAAGAUGAAGGUUGAAAAAUUAGCAGAGAAGUUAUCUAGUUUCUUGGAGGAAAACAAAUGUUUGGUGAUACUCGAUGAUAUUUGGAACACCAAAGCUUGGGAUAGCUUAAAACCAGCAUUUUCAGCAAGAGAGACGAAAAGCAAGAUCUUACUCACCUCUCGGAACAAGGAGAUAGUUGCACACGCCGACAAAAAUGGUUUCUUAUAUGAGUUGCAGGAACUAGACUACAAUCAGAGCUGGGAACUAUUUCAAAAGAUUGCCUUCCCCCAAUCAAAUUCUCCAGGUAAUAUGUUUAUUGAUUUCAUAAUCGCAAAAUUAUUCUAUCUUAAUAUAUAUUGCAACAUUUGCUCUACAUUCUAUUUUUUUUGUUUGCCUAAAAGAAUUUUAUAUUUUAAAGUGGCUUAAACUUUAUAAAAAAAUCAUUUUAGCCGUUCGUUUAUUUAUUUAUUUAUUUUAGCCAUCAAUUUUAGACAUACACAUGAUAGCCCACGUACGUCAGCAAUUAAUUAAUUAUUUUAAGAAUAAUUAUUUUAAAAAAAUAAUUUUUAUAAUUUAUUUGAAUUUUUAAAAUUUUAAAAAUUAAUUAAUUGCUUACAUGACAUCCACGUGUAUGUCACUUCAAUAAAGUUAAUAUAUGUUUAGUCAUCACUCUUCUCAAUUUUUUUCCGAGUUUAUGUCUUGCCCCCCAAAAGCUUUCUAGAGUUUGUUAAUUGAUUUAUUGUAUGAAAUUUGUAAUUUUUUAUGAUAAAUUUGAUCAUAUUUGUAGUUUAUUUUGGUAAACUUAUAUAAAGUAGUAUCUAAAUAUUAAAUUUAUAAAAAAUAAAUUUAAAUAAUCGUAGUAACUAAUACAAAUUGAGCAAUUAAUUUAUUUUGAUCGUAUUACUAAAUUCACAUCUAAAAAAAUUGAAGUAAACUAGAAGUUAAGAUAAUUUAUUUUACUUCAAUAGAGUUAUUACUUGAAUGUAACUCUAAGCACAAAAUAUAGAAAAAAAAGUUGUGAUAAUUGUAAUUAUUAUCAGUUAAAAAAUUGAUGUAAAAAAGAAGGCAAGUUAAUUUUGUUAAUGAAAAAUAGAGUUAUUACUUGAUAAAAUUUUAAGCAUCUUAACAAUCACUUUAUUAAUAUUAGAGUUAAUUAUAUUCAUUAGUUUUUAUGUUGAAUAAUGUUUUUUUGCAUUAAUUACAUAAAAUAAAACUAUAUUAUAUGUUGAAUAUGUUAAGAAUAUUUUAAUUAUGAUUUGAAAUUUAUAUAUUAUAAUAUUUUAAUUAAUAAGUUUAUAUAUUUUAAUUAUAUUUAAUAAUUCAUACAAGAAAUAUUAUUUUACGUUAAUUGCCGCUACAAAAAUAAAACAUUUUAAAAUUUAUAUUAAAUAGUAAACAUAUAAAAUCACAUGCAACACAUAUGAUAAUAGAAGUUAAUAUAAUAAAAUUUGUAAAAUUUUAGCAUAAUUAUUGCAUUUUCAUGAAGUUGGUUCAAUUUUGAUAACUUUUUGUGCAAAUAAAAAUACUAUAAAACCAGGUGUUUCAAUGUCAUAAAUCAUUAGGCUCAAGUGGCGUUGUAUUAAGAAUUUACAUUUGAUAUACUAUAAACCAGGUGUUUCAAUGUCAAAACAUUUUAUUUAUUUUUAAUAACUUUUCAAAUUGUUAAAUUGGUGAUAAUUAAUAUUGUGGUUAAUUACUAAAAUGUAAUGCUGUGGGUUACUUGCAUUGCAUCCUGCUUCACUAAUUAUUUGAAAUUGUUUAAGAUGUCAAUGUUGUGUGGUUAAUUACUAAACUGUAGUCUGGUUUUGAAGUUAUCACUGAUUUUUUUGAAACUUUGUUUUGGUAUCAUACAGGCUAUAAAAUUGAUCCGAAAAUGAAGGAGUUGGGAGAGGACAUGGCACUGUGUAGGGCUUCCAUUAGCCAUCAUUAUAUUGGGAGGAAUUUUGGCUACAAAGUAUCCUUCAUUAACUGAAUGGCUGAAGGUAUCUGCAAAUGUGAAAUCAUACUUGAACAACGAUAAAGGUGAAGUACUAAGAGAUGUGUUGGCAUUAAGUUAUGAUGAUUUGCCUCCCUAUUUAAGACCAUGUUUUCUUUAUUUAAGCCACUUUCCGGAAGAUUAUGAGAUACCUGCGGAUAGAUUGAUUCAGUUAUGGGUUGCUGAAGGUAUUGUUUCAUCAAAGCAAGAAGAAGGAGAUGAAGGGCAAAUAGCGGAAGAUGUGGCUGAAGGUUAUUUGCUGGAGCUUGCAGAAAGAUGUAUGAUUCAAGUACGAGAAAGAGACAUUGCAACCUUAAAGAUAAGAAGUUUUCAGAUGCAUGAUCUAAUGAGAGAUGUUUGCUUGUCCAAGGCAAAACAACAAAAAUUCCUCUAUAUUGCAGAUCAGUCAAAUGCGUGUCAGUUAUCCACAAUUGGGAGGGGUCGCAGAGUUUCUGUACACAAAUCUUUUUGGAUACAGUGCAUUAAAAGCCCACAUCUUCGAUCAAUUUUGUUCUUCGAUAAGUUUGCACCGGGCGAGGAAAUGGCAAAGGUUUUGCCAUUGACAGCGCGAAGCUACUUAGAGAACCACUGCCCUGAAAGUCUCAAUCUGCUGGUUUGGUUUGUGCUAUUAUUGUUCGUUACUAAAAUGAGGGGAAUUUGGAAAUAUAUGUUCAAUAAUUUUAAUUUUCUUAGAGUGUUAGAUUACGAAGGAGGAGGAGUAGCAGGAUGCAAGUUACCAAAUGACAUUCGUAAACUCAUCCAUUUAAGAUUCUUGAGACUAAGGGAUUUGCAUUUCUUGAGUUUAAAGUUGCCAUCAUCUCUAGGAAACUUAAGGUGCUUGCAAUCCUUAGAUUUAAGAAUCGAAAUCAUUGUUUGGAGAUCUGUUCAUGUACCUAACGUGUUAUGGAGGAUGCAGAAACUAAGGCAUCUAUAUCUCCCCAAGCGAUGUAGUCCUAAAACAAAAUUGAAGUUGGGUACAUUGAGAAGCCUCCAAACACUUGUCAACUUCAACACCAAGAGUUGUUAUAUAAAGGAUCUUAUCAACAUGACAAAUAUUAGAGAGUUGGAAAUUCGGGGGCCCUUCAAUAUUGAAGAUUUUAACACGGAGGAGUUGGGCAAGAAUCCACUCAUCGUCCAAAGUAAAUAUCUUCAUUCCUUGUCUAUCAUCAAUUAUGAAGAAGGAAUAGAUCCAAGACAUUUGGCACACCUCCUUUCAAGUUGUGAUAGCAUUUCUAAGUUGAGCUUAGAUGCGGAGAUAAGAAGGUUACCAGAGUACCACUACUUGUCUUCAAAUCUCGCUUACAUAAAGUUGAGAAGGUGUAUGCUUGAGGAAGAUCCAAUGCCAACACUUGCGAAACUGCCUUACCUAAGUAUGCUUGAAUUACAUGAAGAGGCUUUCAUAGGAAAGGAAAUGUUUUGCUGUGGACAAGCUUUUGCUAAACUUGAGUCUCUAAGCCUUAUGGAGCUGGACUUUCUGGAGGAGUGGAAAGUGAGUGAAGGAGACAUGCCUUGUCUUCGGCGAUUGGAGAUAGGGAACUGCAGACAACUAAAAAAGCUUCCAGAUGGACUGAGGUUUAUUGCAACCCUUCAAGAACUGAAGAUUGAAUCAAUGCCAAAGACAUUCAAAGAUAAAGUGGAGGAAGGGGGAGAAGAUUUCUGCAAAGUCCAACAUGUUCCUUCUAUCAUAUUCCAAAAUUGCGAGGGGUAGUAAUCAUGAUUAAUGCCAGGCAAUUCAUAAUCUUUGCUUUAGGAAAUACUUAACCCAUUUGUUUAUACAUAAAAAUCCACAACUAAUUUGCAUGUUUAUACAUCAUAUUGACAUUUUUUAAUAUUUCCUAUUCAGGUAUUGAAGCCAUUGCCAUUUUUUUUAUUCUGUUGCUGCUCUUCAUGGGACCAAAUAUAUGUAAAAAAGUUGUAACAGUACUGUGUGAAAUUGUGUACGUGGAGUGAAAUUUUUUGUAUUGUAAAAUUAGAGAUUGGGUUUUUUUUUUUUUUUUGGUUAUAAAUUUCAAAAUUGUAAGGUGCAAAAUUAUGAAAAGCUUUUUAGGUAACUUCUAUUAUACUGAACAUCCCUUGCUUAAAAAAUUUAAAAUUUUAAUAUGAUAAUAAUAUCAUAGUGUGAUGCAAUAAUUCAAUUUUUAAGUAAAUGAAUUUAAAGGUAACAAUAAUUAAAAAAAGCAUGGUAAGUAUGUGACUGAAGUAAUGUUAUUAAUCAACUCGACACCAAUUCAGUUAAUGAAUUUUCAAAAAUAACCUUACAUAUUUUAAAUAAGUUACGGGUAAUGCGUAUUCGGUAAAUGUACUUUUAUAACAUAUCUAAUGUGAUACCUAUACUUUGAAAAUGUUCAAUGUGGUAUCUAAAUUAUUAAUGUGUUUUAUUAUGGUACCUAAUUAAUGUUAACCGCGUUAGUGAACUACUAAACUAGCAAAUGAAAAUUUAACACGUAAAGUUAUUUUAAAAUCCAUGUGGAUAAUAUAACGUCAUGUGAAAAGCUAAAUAAAUAAAAGAAUAAAUUAAAUUAAAAGCAAAUAACUAAGGAUAUGGUUUAUAAAAAGAAAUAAAUACUAAACUUACAUAAGCAGAAACAUCAUCUUUUCCAAAGAGUUUUCCAUUUGAAAUAAUAUUUUUAAUUGAUUUUUAAAUAAUAUUUUUAUAGGCACAAUGACUUAGCCCUCCAACUUCAAAAAAAAAAAAAGGUCAUUUUAGCCAUCCAUUUAAUUUUUCUUUACCUUUCUUGACCCGUAAACUUGUAUUGUUUCUCAAAUCAUCCAAAAUUGAUAGAAAAUUUAACGUUUGUUAAUUUCGUUGAUGCGGCAUACACAUGGAUUGACACGUGAAUUUUACGUAAGCGAAUAAUUAAUUUUUAAAAUUUUAAAAUUUUAAAAAUUAAAAAUUAUUAAAAUUAAUAAAAAUAUAAAAUAUUUUUUUAAAAAUAAUUAAUUGCUAUAAUGUAGCAUACAUGUGGUAAUCCAUCUGUAUUCCAUGUCAACAAAGUUAACAAACGUUAACUUUUCCAUCCACUUUGGGGUAUUUUGACACACAAUACAAGUUUAAGGGCUAAAAGAGACAAAAAAGAGUUAAAUUGAAGCCUAAAAUAACCUUUUUUGUAAAGUUGAAGGGUCAAAAAAGUCAUCAUAUAUUUUUAUUAUCCAUGUAAAUACUGGUGCGCUCCUGGAAGUUUAAUAUUUACUUCUUUUUUAUUAACCAUAUGUUUAGUUAUUUGUUUUUGAAUAAAAACAAACAAAAAAAUUCUAAUUUUUUUUAAAAGUUUUCUAAAAAAAGAAUUAAAAAAUUUUAUCAGCUUGGAAAAAUUUAGAAGAAAGACACUAGAAUAUAAAUAAAACAAUUAGGUUUUAAAUAAUUGUUUUUUAAAAUUUUUAUUUGCAUGUAUUUUUUCUUAAAAAUUUCUAUUAUUUUUAUUUUUUAAUUAUUUUACUAACGUGACAUAUAAGAUAAAAUAACAACACAUCAACAAUUAUGCACACAUAGAGUGGCAUGUCUGUUAGAGUAAUUAAUGAGCAGUUAGUUAGUUAGCUAACUGUUGAACGUUUCGGUUGUAAGUUCUGUUGUAAGUUUCAGUUGUAAGCAGUUAAUGGGUUAAUGAGUCUCUAUAAAUGAGCAAAGAGAUGAUUGUAUUUGAUAAGUUCUUGAUGAAUAAUAGAUGAAUUCAGUAAAUAGAUGAGAUAUCUUAACAUGGUAUCAGAGGUGGUUUUGUCAAACGUGCUUCUUGUAUUUUGUUUGUUUUAAUUUUUUUUUUCUUUCAUGGAUUUCUCUUCCAGUCCUUCUGCUGUGCAAUCUGACUGUCCUGCCAUGGCUACAAACUUCUCCAAUAGUCUUGCUGAUUGUCGUUUUCUUGUUACUAAGAAGAUCAGUGUGUUGCUAGAUGACAGUAACUAUUUACUAUGGCGUCAACAGGUUAUUCUGGCGCUCAAAACUUUCAGACUACAACACUUUCUUGAUACUGUCACAUCACCUCCGCCUAAACAGAUUCUGGAAGAUAAUGGUGUUCUUCAAGAGAACCCGGAGUUUUCUCGGUUUGAGCAGCAAAACUGUGCUCUAGCAUCUUGGCUACUGUCCUCUGUAAGUACGAGUGUUUUACCGCAUCUUAUUGGCCUCGAAUCUAGCUCUCAGAUUUGGAAUGCUAUUGUUGAUCUUUUUGGAAGCAAGACUACGUCUCGUUUAAUGCCUUAUAGACGGGCGUUACAUUCUCAACGCAAAGCUGACUUACCUAUGAAAGAUUUUCUAUUAAAGAUUAAGAGUUGUUGUGAAAAUCUUGCUAGUUGUGGAGAGAUUAUCAGUGAGCGUGAACACGUCACUGCUAUUCUCAAUGGUCUGUCGCCUAAGUAUGAGUCGGUCAUUACUGUUGUCACUGCAAGCCAGGUUCCAUAUACUGUCCAAGGGGUAUCUUCAAUUCUUCUUGAUGCUGAAACCAGACAACAAGUUAUAGUAAAUGAGGCUCCUAGUUCAGCAAAUCUUGUGGCUAGCCAAGAAAACAAUUCUAUGAAUGAAACUGCUUCAGUUCCUACAUAUCGUCCUUCCUCAACAAAUCGAGGUAGAGGGCGUGGUCGCUCUUAUAGCUCUAAGAUGCAGUGUCAACUGUGUGGGAAAAUGGGUCACCUUGUGGAUCGAUGUUAUCAUCUGUUUGAUGCGUCGUACAAAAGUAUCGGCUAUAGACCACCUGCGGCUCCACAAGCAAAUUUGAGUAUGUUUGGACCUAUUGCUUGUCCGAUGACACCUUGGAUGCCAACUAUGCCUGCUGUCAGUCCAAAUCCUCAAUCAGGUUGGUACAAUUCCCCUGGCUCAUCUCCUAAGUGGACUAAUCCGUUUGUUCAAAAUUUCCCACAGUAUGGGUCCAUGCCUUCUACUUCAUCUCCUACAGUCCCUCAGGCCUAUGCAGCAACCCCUGCAACAGUGGCUGACAAUGCUUGGUAUCCAGCCUCUGGAGCCACUCACCAUCUGACAAACUCGAGCUCAUCCAUAGGUGAACAGCAGGCUUGUACCGGCCUAGGUAAAGUGUAUAUGGGUAACGGCUCUGCACUUCCUGUUAUGCCCAUGGGACAAUCAUCAUUGCUCACUCGGUCUAGAUUCUUACAAAUGAAGUCAUUAUUGCAUGUGCCUGGGAUAACUAAAAAUCUCCUUUCUGUAUCAAAGUUUACAAGAGAUAAUGCAGUAAUGUUUGAGUUCUAUCCUACACAGUGCCAAGUUCGUGAUUUAAAGACUAGAGAGUUGCUUCUCUCUGGUUCUAUGCGUGAUGGGUUGUACAAGCUACAUCUUUCCAAACCUGGCUCGACAGUGCUAUCUGCUCAAUCUGCUCAGUGUUAUUCUGCUCACUCUAUGAUUUCACUUGAUGUUUGGCAUAACAGAUUAGGACACCCAUGUAAUGUUCUACUUAAAAGGGCUCUAUCUAGAUGUAAUAUACACGUUGAUAUGAAUAAACAAGUUGAUUGUUGCCCAGCAUGUCAUUUAGGGAAGGAACGCAAACAACCAUUUCCUCAGUCUGUCGCUCAAUACUUUGAUCCUUUACAACUUGUGGCUGCUGAUGUCUGGGGACCUACUCCAGUAAUAUCAAAUGGUUUUCGCUACUAUGUAGCGUUUACAGAUGCACAUUCAUGAUACACAUGGGUGUACUUUCUACAAAAAAGUCAGAUGUUCUUGGUGCGUUCUCAGUGUUUCAUAAGCAAGCAGAAAGGGUUUUGGGUUGCAAGCUUAAAACUCUGCAAACUGAUGGAGGAGGUGAAUUUCAAGCCUUGAAAGGGUAUUUGACGCAACAUGGCAUUGUGCAACGUAUCACUUGUCCGUACACGUCACAGCAGAAUGGCUUGGUCGAGCGAAAACAUAGGCAAAUCGUUGAAGUUGGCCUUUCUAUGCUGGCGCAUGCAGGAAUGCCAGUUCAUUACUGGAAUGAGGCUUUCAGCAGUGCUGUUUUUUUUAUUAACAGGCUCCCCUCUUCACCUAUAGGGGUAUCACCAUAUGAAAAAUUGUUUCGGGAAUGUCCUCCUUACUCGUUUCUAAGGGUGUUUGGGUGUUUAUGUUUUCCUAACCUAUGUCCUUUCAAUACGUCCAAGUUGCAGUUCCGAUCUACUCCUUGUACGUUCUUAGGAUACUCUCCGACUCAUAAAGGGUAUCGGUGUCGGGCAGCAGAUGGCAAAAUUUACAUUUCUCGCCAUGUUACGUUCCAUGAAGAUAUUUUUCCAUUCAAAAAUCUCAGCUUCAGGCCAUCACCUCCUUCAUCUGGCAUAGCACAAUCGAGUUCUAGACUGCUUGUUUUGUAACCUAAUUGUUUGCCCAUAGGUGGUACUGGUUAUCACGUUCAUACUGCCCCGGUUAGUGCUAGUGACACUGCAGCUCGAGACUCUUUUCUUAGCUCACACUUGUCUCCAGAUGUACCUAGUGACACUUCAGCCCCGGGUUCUCCUGCUAGCUUGAGGCAGUGCAUGCGCGAUAGGGACGCUACCACUCCUUUCGAUUUAGUUAUUCCAGCCAACUCACAUGCCAUGGUUACAAGGAGUAAAGCUGGUAUUUUCAAGCCCAAUGUGUACUUGAGUAGUGCCGAUGUUGCUGCCACGGAUGUUCCCUCUCAUAUCUAUCAAGCUAUGCAACAGACUUGUUGGCAAAAGGCGGUUCAUGCAGAGUUACAAGCCCUCCAGCAAAAUAAGACGUGGGAACUUUGUCCUCUACCAGCUAACAGACAAGUUAUUGGGUGCAAGUGGCUAUUUAAAGUAAAAAGGAAGGCUGAUGGCACUGUGGAUAGAUACAAAGCGCGCUUGGUGGUGAAGGGGUUUUCCCAACAUGUUGGAUUUGAUUUUCGGGAUACCUUUAGUCCUGUAGUUAAAGCAGUGACUAUCAGAAUUGUGCUAGCUAUUGCGGUGAUGAAAGGCUGGCCCCUUCGACAGGUAGACAUCAACAAUGCAUUUCUUAAUGGAGAACUGACAGAAGAAAUCUAUAUGGCGCAACCACCCGGCUUUGAAGUUAAGGGUGUAGGUGGACAGCAGCUGGUGUGUCGACUAACCAAAGCUCUUUAUGGGUUGAAGCAAGCCCCCCGAGCUUGGUUUCAAACUCUAAAGGAAUAUCUUGUACAUAAGCUUAGCUUUCAUGCUUCAAAAGCCGAUCCCUCCUUGUUCAUUCGAGAUUCGGAUGGUCAACUAUUACUUCUCAUGGUGUAUGUGGAUAACAUAGUUGUCACAGGAAGCUCAGGUGCUGCCAUUAACACAGUGGUCAAGUUACUUCAUGACAAGUUCUCUCUUAAAGACAUGGGGCAACUGAAUUUUUUCUUGGGCAUUGAAGUUCAGCAUACAUCUCAGGGACUGUUCCUAAACCAAAAGAAGUACAUUGGAGAAAACUUACAUAAAACAGGCAUGACGGGUGCUACACCCACACCCACGCCUAUGUUGAGCUCCUCAAAACUUAUAGCAUCCGAUGGUUCUUCCGAAUUUGCUGAUGGUUCCCUAUAUCGGAGUACAAUAGGUAUGCUUCAAUACAUGUGCAUUACACGACCUGAAUUGAUAUUUUGUGUGAACAAACUUAGUCAAUAUAUGAAUUCUCCUAGUGAUGAGCAUUGGAAAGCAGUAAAACGGGUGUUGAGAUAUCUUGUUGGGACUAUGAACCAUGGUCUGUUUUUCUCAAGGGGUCAGUUCAAACUGGUAUGUUAUUCUGAUGCUGACUGGGCAGCCUCCGUUGAAGAUAGACGUUCUACAACAGGGUAUGUCGUUUUUCUCGGGUCAAAUCCAGUUGCAUGGUCUUCCAAGAAGCAGGUUGUGGUCUCAAGGUCGUCUUCUGAAGCCGAGUAUCGUAGUCUAGCUAAUUGUGUUGCUGAACUACUAUGGGUAAAACAACUGCUGGAUGAAAUUGGAUUGUCAGUUUGCCAAACACCAGUCAUCUGGUGUGAUAAUACCUCCACAGUAUCCAUGGUUGCAAACCCAACUCAUCACGCUCGUAUGAAACAUGUUGAGAUUGAUUAUCAUUUUAUUCGGGAAAAGGUGAUGGCAGGAACUUUACAUGUUAAUUUCGUUCCGUCCACAAGGCAAAUUGCAGAUGUCCUUACAAAACCCAUACCUCCCACUCAGUUCAUUGAUUUUCGGGAAAAGCUUCAAGUUUGCUCAAAAUGAUAGCUGCUGUCAGAGUUUAGUAAAACCGGGAGAAUGUUAGAGUAAUUAAUGAGCAGUUAGUUAGUUAGCUAACUGUCGAACGUUUCGGUUGUAAGUUCUGUUGCAAGUUUCAGUUGUAAGCAGUUAAUGGGUUAAUGAGUCUCUAUAAAUGAGCAAAGAGAUGAUUGUAUUUGAUAAGUUCUUGAUGAAUAAUAGAUGAAUUCAGUAAAUAGAUGAGAUAUCUUAACAAUGUCAACACAUGCCAUUGACUAUUAGUCAAAUAACAGACACAUUAUCAAUUCUGUCAGGAAAUGAUUAGUUUGAUAAAAAAAAAAACAAAACUAUGACGAUUAAAGUGCUCAAAGAAAAAAGAAUAAGGGCUCAUGAUUAACCAGGAAAAAAUUAGGGACUAUUUUUAGCAUUAUACCUUUUAAUUUCAUCGAGGAAAAAUUUUAGUGUAAUUUUAAAUUUUUAUCAAAGUUAUGCAAUCAUAUUUGGUUCUUGAUGCAUGGUACUAUUUUUUUUAGUUUUGGAUCUGUAAUUUGAUCUGUUCUUUUCCUUCUUCUUCUGUCUUUUUAAUUCAAGCAAUUUGAUUUUGUUUUCCAGAGUAUUUGAUCCAUAAAAGUAUCACAUGUAUUAUAUUUUGAAUUACAUUUUAGUUUUUUUUAUUGAAUCACAUGUAUUAUAUUUUGAAUUUUGAUUUGAUCUAAUUCUUGUAAAUUAUUAACACAAUUCUUAAUAUAACAUCAUUUUAUGUUUAUACAUUUCAUAUAUAUAAAUAAUUAUAUUUAUCCAAUAUAAAAAUAAAUUGAUUGAAUUAUUGCUUUAAAUAUGUACGAUUAAAUCAAAAUUAAAGUUUCAAGUAUACAUUUGAACCAUAAUUAAGAAAAAUAAUCCUAAAAAAAAAUUAAGAAAAACUACACCAUGAAUCACUAAACUAUGGGUAAAUUUUUGUUUUGAUCACUUAUUUAAAAAAGAGUUUAAUUUAAGUCAUUGGGCUAUUAAAGGGUCAAAUUUUAUCAAAUUCAUGGCCCGCAUAUUCUCAAACAUUAAAAAAAUGGGUUUGAAAUGUCAAAUGUUAAGUUUGUGAUUUGUCAUAAAUUACACUAUUAUUUACAUCCUUUUUAUACAUAACUUUAGCUUGUUUAAUAGUUAAAUUAAAACAUCUUAGCAUAUAUUUAGGUUUUCAUGUUUAAAGUAAUAAGUUAUGCUUUUUAGUACUUGUUAUUACAUUUUAUAUAUCUAAAUAAGGUUACAUAGUUUUGUAGGGCAAAUCGGGAGUUAAAGAUGCAUAUUCGAGCCAAAACUGAUGCCUAUGUUGCGACACUAAGACAUUGAUGUCUUAACAUCGAAGACAGAAGCCAAAACAAAGUCCUGGAGCAAAACUAUCUUCGAUGUCACAACAUGCUCCUUGUUGUGUCGUGACAUACCCCUUAUGUUGCAACAUAGCCCCUGCAUAGCCCGAAAAGUCAUGCAUGUGAUAAUUACGUUUUGGAUGGAAAUUAGGUGUAUUUAUCCUAGUCGAACUCUAAGGACUUUAAGGACAACUUAGGCAUUUUAAUAAUAUGAGUUUAGCCUAUAUAAAGGUCAUUGUAAUCAGUUUAAGCACACAAUUUUAGGGAGAUAGAAAAUAUACUUAGGGUUUUUAUUUCGUUCUUAGUUUUUACUUAAGGUAAUUUAUGUUCUUGUAAUAUGAAGAUCAUAUUCCCAAGUGAGACUCUCGCGAGUGGAGAUUGUUCCGGAGCCACGCUUUCAUCGAUAAAUCCAUGAUCAUCUAUUUCCUUUAGUCUAUUCUUUAUACCUCUUUCUUAACAUUGUUAAUUGAAUGUUUGUGUAAAGAUUAGAAUCAAUUUAUACUUUAUCUAUAUUUUGCAUGUUUCAAUUGUAUUAAUCUUAUUAAUUGAUUGAACGGUAGAGUUUUCUUAGCGAAUCAAUUGUUUAGGAGAGGAAGAACUUAAACCCUAGGCUUGAUGACCCUAAGAAGUCAUUUAGGUGUGAAUUAACCCAAAAAUUGGUAUGGCCUAUCCGUGAACACCUUAGCCCCGAACUAGUCUAAACUGUGAGGUCGAGAGAUAAGUAAUAAUUACCGACUCAUUAGAUUACUUGAACGCCGAGAGGCGCAACUAGGUUGAUGACUAGUUGGUUGAAUAGAGCCCUACAUCGAUAAUUAAUUAGGUAAAAUAAUUGGAUGUAGGCUAAUGAAACUCGCAUAAUCGAAACAAGGGAUAGGAGAAACCGAUACAUGAACUUAAGAGUAGAUGUAGGCUUAAUUCAAGUUAUUUAGCUUAUUAAUAUUAUCAUAAUCUUGCUUCCAUAUUAACAUUACUAAUUUGUGACUCGAGUUGAUUAUUAAUUAUUUUCGGUAAUUGGCUUGAUAGUAGUUUUCCCUAAACUACAACCCCUUAGGUAUGAUUCUCGGAGUACUUAUCUACUUUGUUGUAACUACAUUACAACCUGACUCGUAUACUUGCAAACACCGCCUUAAUUUCAUAUUUUUGUAGCAGUAUUCACACUCUAGAAGUUAGUACAUCUAGAGAUGGUUAGUUUGAUAUACAAAAAAUUAUCUCUAAAUCAAUUUUGUUCAAAUAAUUUUUUAAGAAAUUAUUUUCAGGGUAUUUUCUAAAAAUGAAAAAUAAGAUUUUAGGUUGCAAUAGGAUAGAUGCGGUACCCUAAAAAAAAGGAGUAGUACUCAAAAGUCAACGAGCAAAUUGUCUUAAGGGUACCAGGCCUUUUCGAAAAAAUGUACAAUACCUAAGAGUCAGUAAGAUUUUUGAGACAGAGGUACCACACCCUUUUCAAAAAGGAAUCGCACCCCUUCUAGUUCCUCAAAGCCUUUUGUUUCCUAAGUACCUUACCCUACAUGAAGAGGUAUGACACUCUUCCCAACUAAGGUGUUGGAUCUUGUGCCCUAAGUGUAGUAUUUUCGUCUAAGAACACUUGUAAUUUUUUCGAAUAGAUUGGUCAAUAAAAUUGUUCAUGAAUUACAUUAAUACUUUGUAUAUUUUUCUCACAUGAUUUUUGUACAUAAAGAAAAAUGGAAGCAAGUGUUGCUCAAUGGUUGUCUAAUGUUAAACUAAUAUUAAGUGGUAUUAUGUGGUUGAAUCGUAAUAUUAAAAGACAACUUGUAUUAGUAGAUGAACUUAAACAAGCCAUCAGUCUAACAAAAAAUGAGCAAAUCGAUUGAAAGAUUAAUUUAUUAUUUAUCAAGUCCAAUUGGGGAGAUACUUUUUCUUGGGCAUCAAAACGGAUGACUCCUAGAAAAAAGAGACAUAGAUGUGACUGACUAGACUAGUAGUACAUCAGACAUGACCCAAGAUGAAUAGAUCCUGAAUCCGUGAAUGAAUUUAUUCAAUUAUGGAAUUUAUAGGGUUGCAUACCUAAAUCUUGAGUGGAUGACGAACUAUAUAUGUGUGUCUUGUACACUUUGAUGUAAGUAAAAUCCCAAGUUUAAAUAAAUAAGGAACUGAAAGCUGGUGCGUUAAGUGUAUGACUUCUGCAGUAUGUAGCGUUAUUCACAAUAGUGGAAUUCACAGCUCGAGACAUGAGUAAAUGAUAUCCUCUUAUUGGCAUUACAUGGUUGAUGAAAAGUAAAUGUGGCAACGAGUUGUUGGUUUUUAUGAUGAAUGACUUUAUCACUAUUUGAUAGUGAUUGACUUUUCAUAAAGAAAGAUGUAAUGGUUACCAUGAGAUAAAAUAAGAUCAUAUUGGGAGAGCGGAUAUUAUCCUAAAGAGAUCAAUGAUAUCCUAUGAGAGUAACACAUUUAUUACAAGGUCAUUGGACGAGCAUUGAGCAAUUGUUUUUGUAAUGACAUGUUGUUAGGGAAAGCUUAAUCAUGAUAAUAUAGUGAAAUGACUUCGUGACUAAAUGAGUUUAUAAUUAAUAGGUAAAAAUCCAAAACCUAAUUAUAAAUCAUUUCAACAUUAAUUACAUAUGUCCAAUCAGUCCCUCCGCUAGCUUGUUGAAACCAGAAAUGAAUUGUGUGUUUGAAUCAAAAUAAACAGAAUGAAUAUAAAUAGACAAAUGAAAAAAUCCAAAAAUUAUUAUGGUUUUCUCCGAAAUGGAAAAAUAGAAUCAUUUGGAAAUGAAUGUGAUUUUCUCAAAAUGGAAAUGAAAAUGGAAAUGGAAAUGAUAAAUGAUUCAUUUGCAAAUGUACAUGGAUUACUAAAAAGGUCGAAGAAUGGGUUUAUAUUUUUCAGCUAUUUCAAGGCUCGAAAAUGAAUAUAAAUCAUUUGGUCAUAAUGAACAUGUUAAGUGGUGAAAUAUUAAACAUAUUUUUAAAAAAUUUUACCAAAGGUAAAAUUGUCAUAAUAUUGGGAUGAAAAGAUGACACCAGUAGGAUAUUAAACACAACUUUAAGAGAUUGUUACUUUACCGAAAAAUAGAGAGAAUUUAUUCUCAACUGUUAAAUGUAUUUUUUCAGAAGAACAAUUCUACUGGUUUCUAUCAAAAGAAGCGAGAAUUUUUAUUUUCACCCCAAAAAGAAAAGAAAACUUUUUUUUUGUUCUGUGUUUUGAUUCAAUUGGUUCGAGCCCACACUUCAAGUAAUUCGUGGUAUGAUAAUAGCAGAGAAUAUCGCUUGGUUGAAAUCUAGAAAACAUAAAAGAUUCGCUUAUCCGAAAACACAUGUAUGAUUUUGGUUAAAGGUUUAUUUUUAUAAAUAUCACAAACCGGGUAGACUUUCAAAAUUUUAAUUUUUUGAUUGCAAUAAAACCAUUUUCAAACCAGAUUUUUUCCAACAUAAGGUGUGAUACUCAUGGCUCCAACGAUUACUUUUUGACCAAAGGAACCAGACUUCUAUGAAUUAGGUACCAUUACCUAAAGGCUUGCAAAAGUAAUUAAUGUUGCAAUUAAAGACUCCAACGAGUCUAAUUUGUUUUUAACUUCCUCACGUCGCUAUUAAUACAUGAGAGAUCAUGGAGCAAAAGUUGGAGAUGGGAAAUCUAAAGCAUGAAAUUUGUAGUUUGAAUUAUUAGUUUGGAGGAAGAUAUGGGUAAUGAUGUGAUUGAUUCAAUGGAUUGGUGAUAGUAGCGUAUCCACAUCAAGUAUAGAAAAGACAUAAAACACUAGAUUAGAUAAAGGCAAGCUUAAGGUGCAAGUGAGGGGUAUGUCAAGCCUAAUAAGAUUAAUAAAAAAAAUCCAUUUUUAUUGGCUUGUUAGUGUUUAAAUGAGUAAGAGGAUUGUAAGCUAACGUAUGGGCCCAUGUGAGUGGUCAAAAGAUAGUCAAACUGAGGAGCUUAUAGAUGUGCUACAGACAAAAGUCAAAUGUAAAUAGUAAGUGGCUUCUUAUCUCGACAAGUAGAUAACACUUUAAAUAGAGUAAAUAACUUUAUGGUUGAAAUGAAAGAAACCAUUGAUUAAAAUUUAAGAGAGGACUCCAAUAGUAGGUGUGGGAUGUGCCUUGUAUUCUUCUCCCAGUUAAACUCUACUAUAUUUUCCCAAUUGGACUCUGAUCGUAACAGCCUAUUUUCAGUGAAAUCGGAACAGUGGUUUCGGGACCACAAAUUCGAGUCAAAAAGAAAAUUUAUUUUAAUAAUAUUGUAUGGUCUGCAUUAUGAUAGGAAAGACGUAUGAAAAUUUUGAUAAGAAAAUUUUACCUAUCACAUGUUUAAUUAUAGAAAGGACCAAAUUGCAUAAAAUGAAAAAGUUGAGUUCUAGUAGCUAUAAGUAUGAAAUAGCUAUGGAAUUUGAAAUUUGAGGUCCUUAUAUGGUAAUUAGACCAUUAAGAAAAGUUAGUAGAUAUUUUUGAUGAUUCAUCCAUAGAAAAUUAGAAAAAAUGACUAAAUUAGAAUUUGGAAUAAAUAAAGAUGAUAAUAACCUAAUAUCAUCUUAUUUCAUCAUUUUCCCCAAAUUUUCUAUGGAAAUCCUAGGAAAGAGAAAGAAAAUCAAGCAAGCUUAAUUAGGUAAGUAAUCAUGUCCCGAUUUCAGUAAUUUUUAUAUUUUUGAAGUUAGAAUAACCUAAUCUAUCUAUUUUGGGAUCAAUUUAUAAAGAUGUUAAAGUAUUGAAAUUUUGCCGUGCUGAAAAUUUGAAAUUUAUGGUACAAAACGAAAGGUUGUUGAUAGAUAAAUAACUUUUGUAAAGUGAAUUUUCAUGAAAUUGUGAUUUAGGGACUAAAUCAUAAAGAUGUAAACUUCAUGGAAAUUUUUUUAUUUUUGUGAAAUAUAUGUGUUGUAAAUGUUAAAUGUAAAAAUUGAUUAGGCUUCGAAUAAGGAUUAAAUUGUAUGAAUUUCAUUUUCCGAGCCUAGGGAGAAAAUCGUCAUUAAUUAAAAAGUAUAAGGGCAAAAUGGUAAUUUUGCCUAAUAUGUGAAUUGAAUAGAAAUGAGUACGAAAUUAUAUUAAAUUUAGUUAAAUUUACUUGUAUAGAUCCGGAUAGACAAAAUAAAAAAUUGGAUCGAGGAAAGGAAAAAGUAAUGAAUUAGUAGAUUACAACUUACGAAUAUUGUCCAGGUAAGUUUGUGUAACUUAAUUGUGUAAUUAUAUGUUUGAAUUGGUUUGAAUGAUUUAUAUGUGAAUUCUGUAUUGGUCAUGCAUAUGAAAUCUGAUUGCAUAUUUGGAAAAUACCUGAUAAAUGUUAAAUCCCGUUUGAAUGAAUGAAAUUCAAUUGGAUACAGGGUUCUGUUUCUCGAAGUGGUAGUGUUCCUGCAUAUGUUGCGGACAUACCAUAGCUCAAAAGAGCAUCCCGAUAUAAGCCCUCUUAGUGUUCUUGCGAGGUUCUUGUUAAAUGCUCUUCAGAGUAUCCUUCAUUAACUGAAUGGCGGAUGGUAUCUGCAAAUGUGAAAUCAUACAUGAAGAACGAUAAAGGUGAAGUUCUAAGAGAUGUGUUAGCAUUAAGUUAUGAUGAUCUGCCUCCCUAUUUAAAACCAUGUUUCCUUUAUUUAAGCCAAUUUCCGGAGGAUUAUGACAUACCUAUGGAUAGAUUGAUUUAGUUAUGGGUUGCCGAAGGUAUUGUUUCAUCAAAGCAAGAAGUAGGAGAUCAUAUAUAUAAUAAGAGUAAUUACAUAUUAUUUACUAUCAUAAUAGCUUAAUAAAAUUGAUAUAAUUUGGCUAUGGUUUAUUGGACUUUAAUUAUUAAAUAAAGUAUAGGCCAAAGUUAUAUAUACACUACACCAAAACAGGUUUUUAGCGGCGUUUUUUCAGGCCGUAGCGGCACUUUUUAGCGCCACUAAAUGUGUUUGCGGAGCUUCCACAAGCGCCGCAAAAAAUGCCGCUAACGACAACGUCGCUAACAUUUNNNNNNNNNNNNNNNNNNNNNNNNNNNNNNNNNNNNNNNNNNNNNNNNNNNNNNNNNNNNNNNNNNNNNNNNNNNNNNNNNNNNNNNNNNNNNNNNNNNNAUUUAUAAAUAAAAGGUUUUAAAAGUUUUAAAAUUAUAAAAUAUUUAUUAAAAAUAAGAAUAAAAAUCCAUUAAAAUCUAAUAAUUAUAAGAUUCUAAAAAAAUUUGACCCCUACUCUUUUAUUGAGUCAGUAUUGUUAUUUAUUAAUAAAAAAUAUAAAUUUAUAAUUUUUCUUAUAAAUUUAUAAUUUUUUAAAUAUUUUUUAAAUUUUAAAAGGGCUUACUUGAUUUUUUUAAAAUUUUUACUAAUGCCUUUUUGACCCUUUAGCUUUAUUAAUUUCAAAAUUUUCUAAUUUACUUCCAAUAAAAGAGUAGGGUCAAAUUGAAUAAAUGUAUAAAGGUUGAGAAUUAAAUUUAUUAUUAUAUCUUUGUAUAGACUCCAAAUUUUAAUUUGAAUCUAAUUUACGAUAACUAAUUUACCCAUUUUUUAAUAAAAAUUAAAAUACAAUCCAAAAUAUAAUAAAAAAUUAUUGUGAAACUUUUACCUAGAGGUGAUCAUGGGUUGGGCGGCCCGGCCCGGCCCGACGGUCCUCCCAAAAUAUGAGAGGGUUCGGGUAAAAAUAUAUGCCCAAAAUAUGAGUUUGGGCAAAAAAUGAGGCCUAUUUAGAAAACGGGCCGGGCCUCGGGUACCACUUUUUUGGCCCGGGCCCAGCCCAAAUAUAUAAUAAAUAUUUAUUUUUAAUUUUAAAAUAUUUUUAAAAUAAUUUUUAUUUUUAUUUUUAAAAUAAUUUUUUGGUGUUUAUUAAAAAAUAGGUCGGGCCGGGCCGGGCUCGGGCUUAGAAAUUUUUUUGAGCCAGGCCUGGAAAAAAUUCCAGGCCCAUAUUUUAAGUCGGGCCGGGCCCGGGUCUAGGACUCGGGCCAAAAUUUUUUCUGGGUCCAACCCAGCUCGGCCCAUGAUCGCUUCUACUUUUACCUAUAUCAGAUUAAUAGAUAAAACGAAAUAAUUAACAAAAUCGUUAAUGGUGAAAUUUUCUAAUUGAGUAAAAAAGAAAGCGCUAAUAAUUUAUUGAUUUUAAUGAAGGGGGUCUCAUUUAUAGAAACGUGUCUUUUUCCCCUCCCCCGCUUAACAUUCAAUUUGACCGCACUAAUUAAGUUAUCCUUUCAAUAAUUAAUUUUAAUUAUAUUAUCCUUAAUCUUCACUCUACUCUUUUAAAAUAUUUAGUGAUUCUCACUUUCAAAUUCAUAAUUAGUGUUUACCUCUUUAAUGAUCUAUAGAACAUGAAAGAUUAGUAAUUAGACUCGAUCUAAUAAAUGCAUUUGGAAAAUCUAAAAUAAUAAACUAAGGGUAAGUUUGAAUAGGCGGUGUAUUUACUUGCGGUUAGUGUUAAAACAACGGUGACAAUGAGAUUAAAUAUUGUAACAGUAUUAUAACGUGAAACAAAAAGUAAUCUAAACGCACUGCACCUCACCAUCCAUUCAAACCCAUCCCAAAUAUACUUCCUCACCACCAGACUCCAUCUUAAUCUUUCUUUACCUUAUCUAAUAUAUAUUGGAAAACUAUUUCUUAUUAUCUAUAGAAAUUGUUAAAUUUUACAAGUGAAUUGUUAAAUUUUUUUAGUUUAUCUACUUUCUNNNNNNNNNNNNNNNNNNNNNNNNNNNNNNNNNNNNNNNNNNNNNNNNNNNNNNNNNNNNNNNNNNNNNNNNNNNNNNNNNNNNNNNNNNNNNNNNNNNNNNNNNNNNNNNNNNNNNNNNNNNNNNNNNNNNNNNNNNNNNNNNNNNNNNNNNNNNNNNNNNNNNNNNNNNNNNNNNNNNNNNNNNNNNNNNNNNNNNNNNNNNNNNNNNNNNNNNNNNNNNNNNNNNNNNNNNNNNNNNNNNNNNNNNNNNNNNNNNNNNNNNNNNNNNNNNNNNNNNNNNNNNNNNNNNNNNNNNNNNNNNNNNNNNNNNNNNNNNNNNNNNNNNNNNNNNNNNNNNNNNNNNNNNNNNNNNNNNNNNNNNNNNNNNNNNNNNNNNNNNNNNNNNNNNNNNNNNNNNNNNNNNNNNNNNNNNNNNNNNNNNNNNNNNNNNNNNNNNNNNNNNNNNNNNNNNNNNNNNNNNNNNNNNNNNNNNNNNNNNNNNNNNNNNNNNNNNNNNNNNNNNNNNNNNNNNNNNNNNNNNNNNNNNNNNNNNNNNNNNNNNNNNNNNNNNNNNNNNNNNNNNNNNNNNNNNNNNNNNNNNNNNNNNNNNNNNNNNNNNNNNNNNNNNNNNNNNNNNNNNNNNNNNNNNNNNNNNNNNNGUUUUAGAAAAAGAAUCAUAUUCCGUAAGUUAGAACACGAUCUUUUAUUAAUUCCCGAUAUUGUUAAAAAAACUUAUGUUUAAAAAGGUUCGUGUAUUUGGGUUUAUCGAGAAAAUCGAAACCCCAUAAGUUAGGAAAGGACCUUUCAAAUUCCAAAAUACGAGAUUUUGUUUAUUUAAAACAACACCUUUAAUGUAUCGAGUAAAAUGUAACAUGAUUUUAGUAGUAAAAUGUGAAAUGGAUUACAGUGCUGAUGUGCAUAACAGAAUAACAAUAAACGCAUUAAUGUGAUCAACAAUAUGAAGAACGAAAAUAAAAUAAACAAGCCAAAAAUAAAAAGACAAAUAANNNNNNNNNNNNNNNNNNNNNNNNNNNNNNNNNNNNNNNNNNNNNNNNNNNNNNNNNNNNNNNNNNNNNNNNNNNNNNNNNNNNNNNNNNNNNNNNNNNNNNNNNNNNNNNNNNNNNNNNNNNNNNNNNNNNNNNNNNNNNNNNNNNNNNNNNNNNNNNNNNNNNNNNNNNNNNNNNNNNNNNNNNNNNNNNNNNNNNNNNNNNNNNNNNNNNNNNNNNNNNNNNNNNNNNNNNNNNNNNNNNNNNNNNNNNNNNNNNNNNNNNNNNNNNNNNNNNNNNNNNNNNNNNNNNNNNNNNNNNNNNNNNNNNNNNNNNNNNNNNNNNNNNNNNNNNNNNNNNNNNNNNNNNNNNNNNNNNNNNNNNNNNNNNNNNNNNNNNNNNNNNNNNNNNNNNNNNNNNNNNNNNNNNNNNNNNNNNNNNNNNNNNNNNNNNNNNNNNNNNNNNNNNNNNNNNNNNNNNNNNNNNNNNNNNNNNNNNNNNNNNNNNNNNNNNNNNNNNNNNNNNNNNNNNNNNNNNNNNNNNNNNNNNNNNNNNNNNNNNNNNNNNNNNNNNNNNNNNNNNNNNNNNNNNNNNNNNNNNNNNNNNNNNNNNNNNNNNNNNNNNNNNNNNNNNNNNNNNNNNNNNNNNNNNNNNNNNNNNNNNNNNNNNNNNNNNNNNNNNNNNNNNNNNNNNNNNNNNNNNNNNNNNNNNNNNNNNNNNNNNNNNNNNNNNNNNNNNNNNNNNNNNNNNNNNNNNNNNNNNNNNNNNNNNNNNNNNNNNNNNNNNNNNNNNNNNNNNNNNNNNNNNNNNNNNNNNNNNNNNNNNNNNNNNNNNNNNNNNNNNNNNNNNNNNNNNNNNNNNNNNNNNNNNNNNNNNNNNNNNNNNNNNNNNNNNNNNNNNNNNNNNNNNNNNNNNNNNNNNNNNNNNNNNNNNNNNNNNNNNNNNNNNNNNNNNNNNNNNNNNNNNNNNNNNNNNNNNNNNNNNNNNNNNNNNNNNNNNNNNNNNNNNNNNNNNNNNNNNNNNNNNNNNNNNNNNNNNNNNNNNNNNNNNNNNNNNNNNNNNNNNNNNNNNNNNNNNNNNNNNNNNNNNNNNNNNNNNNNNNNNNNNNNNNNNNNNNNNNNNNNNNNNNNNNNNNNNNNNNNNNNNNNNNNNNNNNNNNNNNNNNNNNNNNNNNNNNNNNNNNNNNNNNNNNNNNNNNNNNNNNNNNNNNNNNNNNNNNNNNNNNNNNNNNNNNNNNNNNNNNNNNNNNNNNNNNNNNNNNNNNNNNNNNNNNNNNNNNNNNNNNNNNNNNNNNNNNNNNNNNNNNNNNNNNNNNNNNNNNNNNNNNNNNNNNNNNNNNNNNNNNNNNNNNNNNNNNNNNNNNNNNNNNNNNNNNNNNNNNNAAGGACUUAAUUCACAACCUAUGCAUGGUAUGAGAUUAAUAGAAAAUUUUGAUCUAACAUAUGUAAUUAGUACCGUUUGACAAAAUCGACCUAAAGUCUCAAUUUUGAAAAAGUCAAAUUAGAAGGAUUAAAUCCACAAAUUUCGCAAAAUAUAUGGACUAGUAGCACAAUAUGACCUAAAUAAAAUUACUCACUCUUCCUCCAACUUGGUUUCCAGUUAGAUAAGACUGGCUGUUGCUACUUCUUUCCACACUUCACAAUAAAGUCUUUCUUUUUUCUUUUCACGCUCGCUAGAAUUGAAAUUAUAGAAAGAUUACAUUUUGAGAAAUUAAUUUUCAGAACAAUCUAUGGAUUUCUCUGCUGUGUCUUAUGCUCUCGAAACAAUCGACAACCUAACACAAGAAGUUACAUCCUUGUGGGGCGUCGAUGAACAAGUUGAGGGCUUAGCAAGUGAGCUAAGAUGGAUGCAAAGCUUCUUGAAAGUGGCAGACGCAAGAAAAGUUGAUCAUGAGGUGAUACGUACCACCGUUGUUGAGAUCAGAGAGUCAGCCUACGAUGCUGAAGAUGUGAUCGAGAUGUUUUCCCUCAAAGUUUCUUCCAAAAGGAAAGGUGGAUUUUCAAAUUGCAUCAAAAGAUCCGCUUGAUUCCUCAAGGAGGGAUGCCUGCUCCACCAGAUCAAGUCAGAGAUAGAGAAAAUCACAGCCAGAAUCGAAGUAUUGACUCGACAAUUGAAGACGUAUGAUGUAUCAAAGUUAGGUGUUGAUGGAGAAGGACCAAGUUCUUCAACUGAAAGGCGGGAGGCAAGGCGGCCUUAUCCUCAUGUUAUGGAUGAUAACAUUGUUGGAUUGGGUAAGGAUAUCGAGAAACUGGUCUCAGUUCUUGUCGAUGAGGAAAGCGAAUGCAAGGUCCUCUCCAUAUGUGGCAUGGGUGGUCUGGGGAAGACCACUCUUGCCAAGAAAAUAUAUAGUCAAAGCCAAGUUGUUGGUCAUUUCAAGCACUUGGCUUGGGCAUACGUUUCUCAAAACUGUCAAAAAAGAAAAGUAUGGGAAGACAUUUUAUCUGAUUUUAACCUCUUAAGUGAAACUGACAAGAAGAUGAAGGUUGAAAAAUUAGCAGAGAAGUUAUCUAGUUUCUUGGAGGAAAAUAAAUGUUUGGUGGUACUCGAUGAUAUUUGGAACACCGAGUCUUGGGAUAGCUUAAAACCAGCAUUUUCAGCAAGGGAGACGAGAAGCAAGAUAUUACUCACCUCUCGGAACAAAGAGAUAGUUUCACAUGCUGACAGUAAAGGUUUCCUAUAUGAGUUGCAGUAUCUAAACUACAAACAAAGCUGGGAAUUAUUUCAAAAGAUUGCCUUUCCCCCAACAAAUUCUCCAGGUAAUAUGUUUAUUGAUUUCAUAAUUGCAAAAUUAUUCUUGUCUUAAUAUAUAUUGCGAGUGGUGGUGGUAAUCAUGAUUAAUGCCAGGUAAUUCAUAAUGUUUGUUUUAGGGAAUACUUAACCCAUUUGACCACUUUGCCCUUUAUGAUCUUUUAAAAUUCCAUCCUUGAGUCAUCACUUAAUUUGGUAAAAUUGUGAUUUAGUCCCUCAAACUUCUUCACCUUUUUCAAUUUGGUCCUAAUCCAUCCAUUUUUCUUAGUUUCUAGAUUAUUCUACCCUUAAAAUAUUUACACUAUUGGUCCUUCAACUUUUUCAUAUUUACACUUUAACCCCUCAAGUUUUGAGUAUUUUCUCUUGGGCAACAAAACUUUUCUCACUUUUGCAAUUUAAUCCUUUCUUGGAUUAAUAUGUCAUAAAUAUAUUUUCCAAUGUUGACAUAACUCAAUUACCCUUUUUAUCACUAUAUUUUCUUAUUUUACCAUAUCAGUAUUUUCAUGCAACCUUCCUAUCAUAAUGCAACCCAUGUCAUAAUUUUAAAAUAAAUUUUUCCUUGUCGAAUUUGUGGUCCCGAAACCACUGUUCCAUCUAGCCCCAAAAUCGGGCUGUUACAAUGUCCAAGUCAAUUAUGCCAUAAGGCAGUCGACGAGAGUUGAACAUUAUUUACCAAAUAGGAACUAUGCUUAGAGAGAGAGAGAGCAGAACUGACAGCAGACUUGGAAAACUGACAAUGGUAUAGACCCUCAUGCAUGUGGCCCUCGAAAAGAAUCAUCCCUGUCUGAAUGUCCUUCACAAAACAAAGAAAAGGGUGAAACUCAAAAUAAACCCCAUUGUCUUUUGCAAACUGGCCUAUAGACAUCAAGUUCUUACAAACUGUGGGUACAUGCAAUACAUUCUGAAGAUGCAGAAGCCCGAAGCCAGCUAAAACAUUAGAGGAUCCUACAUUAGCAAUGGAGACAGACUUACCGUUUCCCAUAAGAACUCGACCAGUACCUAUGUAAGGAGAAGCAUUCAUGAGAGUUGACCUUUCAGGUGUAACAUGAUUUGUCGCACCCGAAUCCAGAUACCAAGUUUGAUCAGAAUGAAGAGUAGUCUAUGAGGGUGGUGAUUGUAAACACGAUCUAGUGCAUGAACCCAUAGACGAGCAGGCUGUCGAAGGAGUGAAGUCACGAGCUUGAUGAAGAUUGACUGAUGGAUUUUGACCAGAGAAAUUCUCGUCAAACUGAUGGUAGUAGUUCUGAACUACAUGCCCAAUUUUUCCACACAGUUGACAUUGUGGUCUGGACCGAGACCAGCCCCGACCAGCACCUCUAGUCCUCCCACUAGACCAACCUCGACCAGAACCAGUAUCUCAAUAUUUAGAAGUCUGAGAAUAAGUGGACUUGGAACCUCCUCCUGAAGUACCUUGAAAUUUAGUCACCAAAUUUGCUUGCAAAGGAGUUUCUGUCAAUAACGCUAAGUGUUUAGUUUCACAGUUAAGAAGCAUAUCAGUGAGUAAAUCCAAAGAGAUUGGAGUUGCAGAGGCAAAGACUCGAACUGACUCAUACUCCAUAUCAAGACCAGAUAAAAUGACACUCACUUGUUCUCUUUCUGUUACCACGCUUCCAACUGCUGUUAGGCUAUCACUCAAAUUCUUGACUUUGGCUAGGUGCUCUUUAAUGGUUAAACUAGCCUUCUUGAUCGAGUACAAAGCAUGACACAGACUUGCAACCUUAAUACUUGACGANNNNNNNNNNNNNNNNNNNNNNNNNNNNNNNNNNNNNNNNNNNNNNNNNNNNNNNNNNNNNNNNNNNNNNNNNNNNNNNNNNNNNNNNNNNNNNNNNNNNNNGCUAAAAAUUUGUCCUGCUUUCUAUAAACAAGAAACGCAGGGUUAUCCAACAUCUGACCAUCAACUCUUGCAAGAACUGCUGGAGGAGCCGAAACUGUCCCCAACACAAAGCCUUCAAGCCCGUAUCCUUCAAGAAUUAACAACAGUUGAUGUUUCUAUAGCAAAAAUUAUGUUCGGCCAAUUUGACUGUUCAUGUUUAGCAAAGUAAUGAACUGUCGACGAACCACCACUACCAAGAUUCUGCAAAUGAAACCCUUCUCCAGAACCGGUUGAACAACGUGGAGUCUCUAUUCUAGGAACUGGUUCCGUGGCCAUGAAAAAGAAAGAAAAGAAGGAAAACGCAAGAAACUUCACACAGAAAAAAAUUUGGCUCUUGAUACCAUGUUAAUAUUCUCUCUUUACUUCAACUUCCAGAAUGGAAAACUAUCAUAUCAUUUCAGAAAAUACAACCACGUAUUUAAUACAUGCAGGAUAUAGUAACCAACUAACCUACUGUAACUGAAACUACUAACAAACCUAACUGCCAACUAACAGUAACUACUAUCAUUCCUAACAGUAUCGAAGUUAGGUGUUGAUGGAGAAGGGCCAAGUUCUUCAACUGAAAGGCGGGAGGCAAGGCGGCCUUCUCCUCAUGUUGUAGAUGAUAACAUUGUUGGAUUGGGUAAGGAUAUUGAGAAACUGGUCUCAGUUCUUGUCGAUGAGAAAAGCUAAUGCAAGGUCCUCUCCAUAUGUGGCAUGGGUGGUCUGGGGAAGNNNNNNNNNNNNNNNNNNNNNNNNNNNNNNNNNNNNNNNNNNNNNNNNNNNNNNNNNNNNNNNNNNNNNNNNNNNNNNNNNNNNNNNNNNNNNNNNNNNNNNNNNNNNNNNNNNNNNNNNNNNNNNNNNNNNNNNNNNNNNNNNNNNNNNNNNNNNNNNNNNNNNNNNNNNNNNNNNNNNNNNNNNNNNNNNNNNNNNNNNNNNNNNNNNNNNNNNNNNNNNNNNNNNNNNNNNNNAGAACACCGAGUCUUGGGAUAGCUUAAAACCAGCAUUUUCAGCAAGGGAGACGAGAAGCAAGAUAUUACUCACCUCUCGGAACAAAGAGAUAGUUUCACAUGCUGACAGUAAAGGUUUCCCAUAUGAGUUGCAGUAUCUAAACUACAAACAAAGCUGGCGAACAAAUUCUCAAGGUAAUAUGUUUAUUGAUUUCAUAAGUGCAAAAUUAUUCUUGUCUUAAUAUAUAUUGCAAUGUUUACUCUACAUUCUAUUUUUUUGUUAAAAAAAAUUCUAUAAAGUUAGUUGAUUUAAUAUUAUAAAUCAAUUAUAGGGAAUUAUUAAAUUAACUUUCAUUAAUAUCAAAAUCUUGAUUCAUUAAAGAAUGAUACGAGGAGCAAGCAUAACACUUGUAGUAAAAAAAAGAAGCACCAACUUUUAGAUUAAAUAAUUAUAAUUUAAUUUAGAAUUAUUAAUUAAAAAAUUGUGCUAAUUUUAAAAUAAAAUUAUUAUUUGAAUAAAACUCUAAUUAUAAAAUAUUUUUAUAAUUUGUGUUUAUAAUUUGUUUAUAUAAAAGCUUGGAUUAUGAUUGCUGCUCAUAAUAUUUUUAAUUUAUCUACUUUCUAAUUUCUCGUACUAAAAUAAAGCCUUAAAACAUAGUACAAUAAAACUUUCUAAUUUCUCAUUUUACUACAAUCAAUAGGCUCAAGUGGCGUUGUAUUAAGAAUUUACAUUUGACAUACUAUGUGUGUAAAAACUUUUUUUUUAAUUCCUAAAAUUGUUGUGGGUAACUUGCAUUGCAUCCUGCUUCACUAAUUAUUUGAAACUGUUUAAGAUGUCAAUGUUGUGUGGUUAAUUACUAAACUGUAGUCUGGUUUUGAAGUUAUCACUGAUUUUUUUGAAACUUUGUUUUGGUAUUCUACAGGCUAUAAAAUUGAUGCGAAAAUGCAGGAGUUGGGAGAGGACAUGGUUAAACACUGUGCAGGGCUUCCAUUAGCCAUCAUUAUAUUGGGAGGAAUUUUGGCUACAAGGUAUCCUUCAUUAACUGAAUGGCUGAAGGUAUCUGCAAAUGUGAAAUCGUACUUGAACAACGAUAAAGGUGAAGUACUAAGAGAUGUGUUGGCAUUAAGUUUUGAUGAUUUGCCUCCCUAUUUAAGACCAUGUUUUCUUUAUUUAAGCCACUUUCCGGAAGAUUAUGAGAUACCUGCGGAUAGAUUGAUUCAGUUAUGGGUUGCCGAAGGUAUUGUUUCAUCAAAGCAAGAAGAGGGAGAUGAAGGGCAAAUAGCGGAAGAUGUGGCUGAAGGUUAUUUGCUGGAGCUUGCAGAAAGAUGUAUGAUUCAAGUACGAGAAAGAGACAUUGCAACCUUAAAGAUAAGAAGUUUUCAGAUGCAUGAUCUAAUGAGAGAUGUUUGCUUGUCCAAGGCAAAACAACAAAAAUUCCUCUAUAUUGCAGAUCACUCAAAUGAGUGCCAGUUAUCCACUAUUGGGAGGGUUCGCAGAGUUUCUGCUCACAAAUUUUUUUGGAUACAGUGCAUUAAAAGUCCACGUCUUCGAUCACUUUUGCUUUUCGAUGAGCUUUUACCGAACGAAGAAUGGGAAAAUAUUUUGCCAUUGACAAUGAUAAGCUACUUCGAGAACCGCAGAGAAGAAAGUGUCAAUGCACUGGAUUGCUUUGUUGGAGUUUUAAUAAUUAGUGUGAUAGUUACUAAAAUAAGGGGAAUUUGGAAAUAUAUGUUCAAUAAUUUUAAUUUUCUUAGAGUGUUGUAUUACGAAGGAGGAGGAGAUGGAGGAUGCAAGUUACCCAAUGACAUUGGUAAACUCAUCCAUUUAAGAUUCUUGGGAUUGAGGGGUCUGAAAUUUUUAUGUACAAAGUUGCCAUCAUCUCUAGGCAACUUAAGGUGCUUGCAAACACUGGAUUUAAGAAUUGAAAGCUUAUGCUUCAACCCUAUUCAUGUACCUAACGUGUUAUGGAGGAUGCAGCAACUAAGGCAUCUAUAUCUCCCCGAGGAAUGUAAUCGUAAAACAAAGCUGAAGCUGGGUACAUUGAGAAACCUCCAAACACUUGUCAACUUCAACACCAAGAAUUGUUAUGUAAAGGAUCUUAUCAACAUGACAAGUAUUAGAGAGUUGGAGAUUCGAGGGCCCUUCAAUAUUGAAGAUUGUAACACGAAGGAGUUGGACAAGAAUCCACCUAUCAUCCAAAGCAAAUAUCUUCAUUCCCUGUCUAUUAUCAAUGAGGAAGGAAUAAUCGAUCCAAGACAUUUGGCACACCUCCUUUUGAGUUGCGAAAACAUUUCUAAGUUGAGCUUAGAUGUGGAGAUAAGAAGGUUACCAGAGUACCAUUACUUGUCUUCAAAUCUCGCUUACAUAAAGUUGAGAAGGUGCAAGCUUGAGGAAGAUCCAAUGCCAACACUUGCGGAACUGCCUUACCUAAGUAUGCUUGAAUUACAUGAAAAGGCUUUCAUAGGAAAGGAAAUGUUUUGCUCCGGGCAAGCUUUUGCUAAACUUGAGUAUCUAAGCCUUAGGUGGCUGAACUUUCUGGAGGAGUGGAAGUUGAGUGAAGGAGCCAUGCCUUGUCUUCGGCGAUUGGAGAUAGAAAACUGCAGACAGCUAAAAAUGCUUCCAGAUGGACUGAGGUUCAUUGCAAACCUCCAAGAACUGAAGAUUGAAUCAAUGCCAAAGACAUUCAAAGAUAAAGGGGAGGAAGGGGGAGAAGAUUUCUGCAAAGUCCGACAUGUUCCUUCUAUCAUAUUCCAAAAUUGCGAGUGGUAGUAAUCAUGAUUAAUGCCAGGUAAUUCAUAAUCUUUGUUUUAGGGAAUACUUAACCCUUCUGUUUAUAUAUAAAAAUCCAAAACUAUUUGGCAUGUUUAGAUUCUUUGCCAGGCAGAUAAUUAUUUAGAGAAGAUCCUAGUUUCGGUUCUUAUCCUCUGUUUCUUUUUUUUUUGACAAUGUCUCAUAUUCCCACAAGAUUUGUCAUUUGAAUUAAAAGAGCUAGAAAAUAUUUUCAAUAAGGUGUUAAGGAGGUUCGUGAUAAUCAGCAGAUGCAAUUUUUGAACUUUUAUUUCAAGAUUCUACAACUACUUCAUAUGAUAUUCACAUUUUUUAACUCUUCCUCUUCAGGUGUAGAAGUUAUUGCCAUAUUAUUUAUCCUGCUGCUGCUCUUCAUGGGACCAAAUAUAUGAAAGAGUUGUAACUGUACUGUGUGGAAUUGUGUAGUUGGAGAUUCGAAAUUGUCUUGUAUUUUCUAUAUAUGUUGUUCAGGUAAGAUUGUUAAAAAAUAAAAUGAUUUUGAUACAUCACAAAAGAUAGCAUGUAAAUGACAUAAAUUGCCCCAAGAAUUUAUAUAAAAUGAACUACACACAUAAAACUAUUACAAACACAUUUUGUUAUAUAAAAUCUAAGAUAAAAUUGAAACCCAAUUCCAAAACCAAAUUAUUCCUCUAAAUUGUAUCAAAGUGACAAUCUUUGGAAAAUAAUUUAAAAAUAAAACAAGCUUUGUAAAAUAUUGACAUCAACUAUAAUUUAAUGUCUAAUUAUAUACAUGAACUUUGAUUUUGUGUAAUUUUAUAUAUAAAAUUUUGAUUUUAUCUAAUUCUUGUAAAUUAUUAACACAAUUAUUGAUAUAACAUCAUUUUAUGUUUAUACAUUUCAUAUAUAAAUAAUUAUAUUUAUCCAAUAUAAAAAUAAAUUGAUUGAUUUAUUUCUUUAAAUAUUUACAACUAAAUCAAAAUUAAAGUUUCAAGUAUACAUUUGAACCACAAUUAUAGUUUUGCAUGCAUAAUUGCACCAAUUUAAAUUUUAUGCAUACAAUUGCACAUUAAAUUAAAAUUCAUGUAUAAUUUUGAGACUUAUCCCUUAUAAAAUAUGACCAAAUACGAAAAAUAUCAUUAACACGACAUGUGUAAAAGAAUAUAACAAACUAUACAUAAAAUGAUUAACUAAUGUUAAGAAAUUUAUAGUACUAACAUGAUGAACACGAAGAGAACAUAAAAUAAUUAAAAUACAUUAUAUAAAAAAAAAUGGUUUUGAUAAAAAUAUACAAAUGUGUUAAAAUCUACUCUAUUAUUUAAAUGUGUGAUUGAAUUAGUGUCAUAAAUCAAUUUAAUAUUAAUUCAAUUAAUGAAAUUAUUAAAAUAACCUUACAUAUCUUUAAAAAAUCAGGGGUAAUACAUAUUUGAUACAUGUACUUUCAUAAAAUGUUCAAUAUAAUACCUAAUACUAUAUAUAUAUAUAUUUGAAUCUUUAAUUGGAUUGUUUUUUUUUUUUUUUAAUUCUAGCUAUUUGAUUUCAUUUUCCUGAAUAUUCUUGUUUGUGGAUCUCCUUAUCCGAUCUUAAUAGAUAAUGGUUAAUGAUGAAAAAAAGAAAAAACACUAAUAAUUUAUAUUAUUAAUCUUCAUUCACUUUAAAAGUAAACCAACUAUUUUUUUUUUAAAAUUUUAUUUAAAUUCUAUCUAACAUAUUUUCUAUAAUUUCAUAUAAUCAAAAUUGAUAAAUUUAAAAUACGUAUUAACGUGCAGGCUGAUUUAGAUUUAGUUCAAUUAUAAAUAUUGAUACAAGCAAUACAAUGAACUCCCAUACAAACUCAUUUGUCGACACCACUUUUUGUGAAAACGGGAUCAACUUGGAUUUAAAAAAAAAAUAAUACGGGAGUCGCCACCGAUUUUUUCGAGGUGUAAUCGGAUCACCUAAAAACGAUUUUGGUCUAUGAAUUUAAAAAAAAUAGGUUCGGGAGUCAGUUACGUAAGAGGAAGGGUUAGCACCCUCGAAACGCCCAAAAUUGGUACCUAAUUGAUUAAUUAAUGUCUUGAUGUCGAAAGUCGAAAAUCUGUGAAGAAUUUAGAAAUUUAUGAUCCUCCCCUUUUUAUUAAUGUUAAUUUUGUAAAAGAUUCUUAGAUAAAUCGAAACGGAUGCUAAAGACCUUCUUGUCCCAGAGUAAUAAAAUGUCACAUCCAGUAUGUUAGGACACGACAUUUUAAACCCUCGAGAACAAGCUUGUCCUUUGAUUUUCCAAACUCGUGCAUUUUAAUUUCAAAAGGAUAUUCGAUUAUUUGGGUUAAAGGAGAAAAAUCGAAAUCCAGUAAGUUAGGGCAUAAUUUCUCGAAUUUCCCAAAUACGAAAUAUUGCCUUUAUAAAAAAAAAAUCUCUUUUUUAAGAAUUUGGGUAGAAAUUAAUGAAAUGUUAAAAAUGAUAUACGAGUAAAAAAAAAUGAAGCAUAGAAAUAUAUAUAUAUAUAUUAAUUUUAAAAUAAAUAAUACAUAGGGGUGGAAAUUUCAUGCAAAUAAUAAAAUACAAGUAUACAAAAAUGUGAAAUGAACUAAAUACAUUAGGAUUUUUAAAAGAAAUGAAAUAUCUAUGUAUAUAUAUGUAGAAAAUAGGUAUUUAUAUAUGUACAUAUAUGUACAAAAGAAUAUAUAAUGAAGAUUAAAACGGUAAUACUCAAUGAAUUUUAAAACAAUCGUAUAAUAAUUCCAAAAUGGUAAUAUAAAUUAUUUAUAAUAUAAAAACUUACAUAAAUAAAAAUGUAAUAAAAUUAUAUAUCAAUAUAUGAUAGUAAUACAAAACUUAAAAGUAAUAAUAUAAAUAAUAAUAUACAUAUACAAAUAAUACAGUUUGUACAUAAGAAUAAUAAUAAUAUACAUGUGCACAGGUAAAAUACCACAUAAACAAGUACAAAUAAUGAUACUAAUAAUUAUAUUAACAGUAACAUUAAUAUCAACAAUAAAAAUAAUAAUAUUAAUAAAAUUAAAAACAAGCAAAAACAAGGACAAUUUUGAAAAUAAAACAAAAACUCAGAGGCGACUUCGAAAUGAGCAUAAAAAUGACCGAAUUGAAAACUAUUGAAUACCAGAGGGACUAUUUCUGGAAUUCAGCGCAUAAGUACAGGCACUCCAACCCAAUCAUUGAAAACGAUGUCGUUUAACCAAGGAUCCGAUUAAAAUCGGAACUAAAUAUGAGGCAACAAUUACAACAUUUGAAAAAAAAAACAAAAUUGAAAUGAAAGGACAUCCAGAGGGUCUAAUGCGAAAAUAAACCAUUUAAAAAAGCGGAUCCCUCAGUGCCGGAUCGGGUCGCACAUGGUAUAGGUCUAUACGACGCCGUUUUGGGGACACUGAUUCAGGCCCCAAACGACGCCGUUUCAUGCCUAUAAAAAACCAACAUUUUUUUUUUCUAGAACUUUUUUUGCAUUUCCUUCAAAACAAAACUGAUGAACCCUAGCUUUCUCUGCUAGGGUUCCAAAUUUUAGCCGCCGCCGCCGCCGUCGCUCUAAACCCCGAUUUCGGCCUGGCCUCCGAGUGCGAUGGAGGAAUAAGCGUCGGCCUUCAGGUAAGCGUUCCUUCCUUUUUUAAUACUAUACUUUUAUUAUUUUAUUAUUUUAUAUAUAUAUAUAUAUAUAUAUGCAUAUAAAUGGCUAAUAAGAAAAGAAACAGAUUCGGGGGAAAAAAAAACCUCUUCUUCGGUUUUAUUUCUUUGCUCCUCUCUUUUUUCUGUUUACUGUCCCCCGCUCCCCCAUUUAAUUUUUUUGCCUUAUAUUGUCGAAAAAAACAGAAAAAAUAAACCCUCAAAAACUCCCACUUUUUACAUUUUUGUCGUAUUUUCUGCCCUUUUUGCCUCUCGCUUGCUGUUCGUGGUUUUGUUGCAGGUGGAACGCCCUGAAGCGCGGGGCGACGUGCGCGACGUGCGGGGGCUGCUGCGGCGCUGAAGAAGGGAAGCUAGGGUUGUUUUUUUGUUUUUGUUUUUUAGUUCUAGGCUGAUAUGGGUUUGAGAAAAAUUGGAUAAUGGGCCUCAGUUAUUUGGGUUAAUUUUUGGACUGGUGUAAUGAGUAUUUGGUUGGUCUUGUUUUGAGUGGGCCUGGCAAAAUGGGCUACAUCAUUCAGCUUAAGUAGAUUCGUGGCUAUGCUUAUGCCAAAUUCAUUGGUCAAAGUUCAUUAUUAUUUUUCUUAUAUCAGUAGCCACCGUCGUCAGCGACUCGCCUUUCAUCUGAUACCAAAUGCAUCUAUCAACAUCUACAAUCAAGGCUUCUCGAUGGCAUAUGAUGCAAGUCUCGAUGGCAUAUAGCUGGCUCCAAGAUGCAUCUGAUGUGACUAGUGGGAGUAUUUCUAUCAUAUCCACUUGAAUUAGAGGCCAAAAACAAGGCAUGUUAUAAAUAUACAAUGAAGAGGUUUUAACCACGGUAAUGACUAAAGCUUGAAAGUUUAUAAUUUAAAAAAUAAUAACAAUCAAGUACGCAUGAAUUAUCAUGUAGGUUUUUAUAUCUAAAAAUUUAAUAUUUUGAUUGAUAUUUUCAUUAAAAAUAAUAUUUUGAUUGAUAUUUUCAUUAAAAAAGAAUGAUGACCAAAAUGUCAAAAAAUAUAAACGUUAAAGGUUAAAUUUAUCAUUAUACAUUUUUUAUUGUUUAAAUAUCAUACAACAUACAUAUAAGUGUAACAGUAUGUUAGGUUGAUAUCUCCAAAUAAUACUAAAAAAAGCUACACUAUUUAUAAUAGAUUUAACUGUCAUAGUUUGAAUUAAGACUGAAAUUUUAAAAUUUUAAAAAUAUAUAAAUUAAAUAUUAUCAAAUUGAAGAACAGGGAGUAUGAGAUAAUUAAUACCAGAAUUUGAUCUAACAUAUUUAUCAGUACCAUUUGAUUAGAUUAACCUAAAUCUCAAAAUUUUAAAAAUACAAAGACUAAAUUAAAAAUAUUAAUUUUGAUAUCAGUUUAGAAAUUUUGGUGCCCUUCAAAAAAAACUUGAAUAUUUCUUAAAAAAAGGUUUUGUAUCCCUAUAGAAAGCUGGGCAUCCCUUCAAAGAAUUUGGUAUGAAUAUGCAAAUUAAAAUUUGAUUCAUACCAUCAAAUAUUGUUAUACCAAAAUUUAUUUUUAUUUGGAGUGGUAAUUAUUUUGAUGAAAUAUAAUGUAUUUAAUUCCUAUCAAAAUAUAUAAGGUGAUAUAAAAUCUAUUUUAGCAUACAAAAUUUCUAAAAUAUAAUAUAUGUAAUGUUGUAAGCUAUUUUUGAUAUACAACAUUUCUCACAAAGUAUUUGGGUCACUACGCAUCGUUUUCUUUUUUCAUGUUUCCCCAAAAUUUAUCUUUAAAGUUUCUGUUUUCUGCUCAUGUGACUCAAUAGGCUAUAAUCAAAAUUUUAAGGGAUAUAAUUAGACAUUUCUAAUAUAUCUAAUGUGACACGAUACAUGAAAUUAAAAAUUUCUAAGUAGAAACCUAAAACAUCUAGUUAGAUAUUUUGUUAAAAUUUCUAACAAGUAUCAAAAUUUGUUUAAAUUGAAUCAAUACACAAUCAUAUUUUGUUGUUGAUAGUAUCUGUUUUUAGUUCUAAGAUUUGAUUUCAUUUUCCUAAAUAUUCUUGUUUAUGGAUCUUAAUAGAUCAAACAAAAUCGUUAAGGAUGAAUUUUUCUCUUCUAUAAAGCAGGCAUGAAAUAAGGUGAAGUCCAAAGAAUCCUACAAGAACAGAGCAGAUAUUCUACCCAUAAAAUAACGAUUACUAUUUUUGUAAUUCUGUUUAUUUCUAUUAAAUUUUGUGUUGUCAAAACGCUACAUUUUUGACAUUGGUUUUUAAUGAAAACAGUGCGUGUAAGGGAGGGUAGUUAGAUCAGUGUCAAAACGGGGAGUUGAGAGGGAGUAGAUGUACUAGUGAUACGGUGCAUUUUCGAGUCAUUUCUGUUUGCCAGUGUUGAAGCUGGCCUGCAUGCUGACAUGGAGCAACAGAAACUGCCCGAGCCAUGCAGUUGCAGCUGAAGUUCAAGCUGCUGUUUUGUUUUUGUUUCUUCAAGUGAUGUUUUGUAAUUUAGUUGAUUAGAACUAAGUAGUUCAUGUACUUGAUGUUAUUAGGUGAAGAUUGAGCUGAUAAAUCAGCUUUACAAAGUGUACAAGUUAACUUUAUCAAGUUUCAAUGUAUUUAGUGGUAGUAGGUAUUGUUUAGGUGAUGAUUUUGUAUCUCAUUGACCAGCUUAUGUCUGGUAUAUGUAUUGGCAUGCAUUAUGCCAUUUUUCAAAUAUAUGAAAAAUCCAUUCAAGAAUUGUUCAUCCAAUACUCUCUCAAUCUUAGUUUCAUUUGGUUCUUAAAUGCUUGAUUGUGUUAUUGUUUGCACUGCAAGUCUCGAGGCUUAAAGCUCAAGAAACUGUUCUGUUUCCCUCAUCUUUGUUCAUUGUUCCAACAGCCAGUCUGUCAAAAUUUGUCUGUUAUUCACCCUUUAUGAAUCUAUCAGCAUGGAGGGUGAGACAACGAUGGAAUUACACGUGAAUUUUCUACUCUUCUUUCUCUAAGAUCUCAUCUUCUUCUCCGAUUACUUCUUCCUUCCAUAAUUAUUUCUGUUCUUUCUUCCCUCAUCAUAUUUCUCGUCAAAUUUAAAUGAAAAUAUAUGCAGUUUACUUAAACUUCGCUUUUCAUUACAACUUUUAAAAUUAUAACUUCAUUGCCUACAGAAGUUAAAAGGUUAAUCCUUGUUCUUGAAUGCUGCAAUCAAAACCAAUUAUAACUUCAGAAACGUUAUUUAGACAUAUAUUUUAAUCGUUGAAGUUUAAAUGAUUUUAAGAUAUUUAGACAUGAAUAAAAAAGGGUAUAUUUUUCGUAUCAUUUCAUGAGAAAAGAAUAGCUCUAUUUUGGCAAUCCGAGUUAAUUGGUGAUCAAAUAUUAUUGGCUCCCCUUUUCUUCUUUGCUCAAUUUUUUAGCAAGGGAUGAUUAAAGAAAAAGGCAUUUGAUUAUAUCAAUUUAUUCUUUAUUCAGAAUCAGUCGCCUAAGCAUUGGGUUAAGAAUCCAAUUUUCAUUGCAAAGUACUUUGUUACGUCAUCAGAAUCACUUCAACCUAUUGUACAAGCAAGAAUCUAUAGUUCAAACAUUGCACAAUGUUGUCUUUUGCCAAUAUAUAUCGUUUUUUGGUGCUUUACUUAAACAUGCUGCAAGGAUUUGAUAAACAUAAACAUAAAAAUAGUAAAAGAUUGGUUUCAAUAAAUUUAGUUGUUCUUGUUUUAGCUUCCAUUAAUUAUGAUUCCUUGCUAAAGCAAUUGGAUAAGAAUCUAACUUCCCUUGUGCAGUAUUCUUAUCCUUCCAUGGGAAUCACCUGCACCCGUGUCCACAAGCAAGAAUUGUAUGGUUUAAUUUAACUUUUAACCAUAUAAUCAUUGUACCUGAAACCAAAAAUUCCAAGAUAUCAACUCUCUUUGGUCACAAAAAAAAAAAAAAAUUGCUCUCUCAUGGAUUUCUCUGCUGUUUCUUCUGCCCUCAAAGCAAUCGGCGAGCUAACUCAAGAAGUCACAUCCUUGUGGGGCGUCGAUGAACAAGUUGAGGGCCUAGCAAGUGAGCUGAGAUGGAUGCAAAGCUUCUUGAAAGUGGCAGACGCAAGAAAAGUUGAUCAUGAGGUGAUACGUACCAGCGUUGUUGAGAUCAGAGAGUUGGCCUACGAUGCUGAAGAUGUGAUCGAGAUGUUUGCCCUCAAAGUUGCUUCCAAAAGGAAAGGCGGAUUUUCAAAUUGCAUCAAAAGAUCCGCUUGUUUCCUUAAGGAGGGAUGCCUCCUCCACCAGAUCAAGUCAGAGAUAGAGAAAAUCACAGCCAGAAUCGAAGUAUUGACUCGACAAUUGAAGACGUAUGAUGUAUCAAAGUUAGGUGUUGAUGGAGAAGGACCAAGUUCUUCAACUGAAAGGCGGGAGGCAAGGCGGCCUUAUCCUCAUGUUAUGGAUGAUAACGUUGUUGGAUUGGAUAAGGAUAUUGAGAAACUGGUCUCAGUUCUUGUCGAUGAGGAAAGCGAAUGCAAGGUUCUCUCCAUAUGUGGCAUGGGUGGUCUGGGAAAGACCACUCUUGCCAAGAAAAUAUAUCGUCAAAGCCAAGUUGUUGGUCAUUUCGAGCACUUGGCUUGGGCAUUUGUUUCUCAAAACUGUCAAAUAAGAAAAAUUUGGGAAGACAUUCUAUCUGAUCUCAACAUCUUAACAGAAGUUGACAAGAAGAUGAAGGUUGAAAAAUUAGCAGUGAAGUUAUCUAGUUUCUUGGAGGAAAACAAAUGUUUGGUGAUACUCGAUGAUAUCUGGAACACCAAAGCUUGGGAUAGCUUAAAACCAGCAUUUUCAGCAAGAGAGACGAAAAGCAAGAUCUUACUCACCUCUCGGAACAAGGAGAUAGUUGCACACGCCGACAAAAAUGGUUUCUUCUAUGAGUUGCAGGAACUAGACUACAAUCAGAGCUGGGAACUAUUUCAAAAGAUUGCCUUCCCCCAAUCAAAUUCUCUAGGUAAUAUGUUUAUUGAUUUCAUAAUCGCAAAAUUAUUCUAUCUUAAUAUAUAUUGCAACAUUUGCUCUACAUUCUAUUUUUUUUUGGCAAAAAGAAUUUUAUAUUUUAAAGUUACAUAAUAAUUUAUUUUGUUCACUAAUUUUACAAAAAAAUUCAUUUGAGCCAUCCAUUUAUUUAUUUUUAUUUUUUUUAGCCAUCCAUUUUAGACAUACACAUGACAUUUCAUGUACGUCAGUAACUAAUUAAUUAUUUUAAAUUAAAAAUAUUAAAAUACAUAUUUAUAAUUUUUUAUAAAUUUUAAGAAUAAUUAAUUUUAAAAAAUAAUUUUUAUAAUUUAUUUCAAUUUUUAAAAUUUUAAAAAUUAAUUAAUUGCUUACAUCACAUCUACGUGUAUGUCACUUCAAUAAAGUUAAUAUAUGUUUAGUCAUCAUUCUUCUGAAUUUGUUUCUAGUUUGUUAAUUGAUUUAUUGUAUGAAUUUUGUAAUUUUUAUAAUAAAUUUGAUCAUAUUUGUAGUUUAUUUUGGUAAACUUAUAUAAAGUAGUAUCUAAAUAUUAAAUCUAUAAAAAAUAAAUUUAAAUGAGCAAUUAAUUUUUUUUGAUCAUAUUACUAAAUUCACAUCUAAAAAAAUUGAAGUAAACUAGAAGUUAAGAUAAUUUAUUUUACUUCAAUAGAGUUAUUACUUGAAUGUAACUCUAAGCAUAAAAUAUAGAAAAAAAAGUUGUGAUAAUUGUAAUUAUUAUCAGUUAAAAAUUGAUGUAAAAAAGAAGGUAAGUUAAUUUUAUUAAUAAAAAAUAGAGUUAUUACUUGAUAAAAAUAGAGUUAAUUAUAUUCAUUAGUUUUUAUGCUGAAUAAUGUUUUUUUGUAUUAAUUACAUAAAAUAAAACUAUAUUAUAUGUUGAAUAUGUUAAGAAUAUUUUAGUUAUGAUUUGAAAAUUUUAUAUUAUAAUAUUUGAAUUAAUAAGUUUAUAUAUUUUAAUUAUAUUCAAUAUUUCAUACAAGAAAUAUUAUUUUACAUUAAUUACCACAGAUAAAAAUAAAAUAUUUUAAAAUUUUAAUCAAAUAGUAAACAUAUAAAAUCACAUGCAAUACAUAUGAUAAUAGAAAUUAAUAUAAUAAAAGCUGUAAACUUUUAGCAUAAUUAUUGCAAUUUCAUGAAGUUAGUUAAAUUUUGAUAUUUUUUUGUACAAAUAAAAAUACUAUAAAACCAGGUGUUUCAAUGUCAUAAAUCAAUUGUAGGGAUUUACUAAAUUAAAUUAACUUUCAUUCGUAUGAUUCAUUACAGAAAUACAUAUUACGAGGAGAAAUCAUAACACCAUAACACAUUUGUAGAGAAUUGUAAAUCAAUUGUAGGAAUUUACAUUUGAUAUACUAAGUGUAUAAGUGAAUCACAUGCAAGAAAUCACUUGUCAAAAACCAUUUUAUUUAUUUUUAAUAACUUUUAAAAUUGUUAAAUUGGUGGUAAUAUUGUGGUUAAUCUAUCGGCAACUUGCAUUGCAUCCUGCUUCACUAAUUAUUUGAAAUUCUUGAGUAUGUUAAUAUUGUGGUUAAUUACUAAAAUGUAAUGUUGUGGGUAACUUGCAUUGCAUCCUGCUUCACCAACUAUUUGAAAUUGUUUAAGAUGUCAAUGUUGUGGUUAAUUACUAAAUUGUAGUCUGGUUUUGAAGUUAUUACUGAUUUUUUUUUGAAACUUUGUUUUGGUAUUAUACAGGCUAUAAAAUUGAUGCGAAAAUGAAGGAGUUGGGAGAGGACAUCGUUAAACACUGUGCAGGGCUUCCAUUAGCCAUCAUUAUAUUGGGAGGAAUUUUGGCUACAAAGUAUCCUUCAUUAACUGAAUGGCUGAAGGUAUCUGCAAAUGUGAAAUCAUACUUGAAUAACGAUAAAGGUGAAGUACUAAGAGAUGUGUUGGCAUUAAGUUAUGAUGAUUUGCCUCCCUAUUUAAGACCAUGUUUUCUUUAUUUAAGCCACUAUCCGGAAGAUUAUGAGAUACCUGCGGAUAGAUUGAUUCAGUUAUGGGUUGCCGAAGGUAUUGUUUCAUCAAAGCAAGAAGAAGGAGAUGAAGGGCAAAAAGCGGAAGAUGUGGCUGAAGGUCAUUUGCUGGAGCUUGCAGAAAGAUGUAUGAUUCAAGUACGAGAAAGAGACAUUGCAACCUUAAAGAUAAGAAGUUUUCAGAUGCAUGAUCUAAUGAGAGAUGUUUGCUUGUCCAAGGCAAAACAACAAAAAUUCCUCUAUAUUGCAGAUCAGUCAAAUGUGUGCCAGUUAUCCACUAUUGGGAGGGUUCGCAGAGUUUCUGCACACAAAUUUUUUUGGAUACAGUGCAUUAAAAGUCCACACCUUCGAUCACUUUUGUUCUUUGAUAAGUUUUUACUGAGGGAGGAAGAGAAAAAGGUUUUGCCAUUCCAAAGCUACACCAACAACCGCAGAUCAGAAGAAAGUUUCAAUGCACUGGAUUGCUUUGUUGCAGUUUUAAUAGGUAUUGUGAUAGUUACUAAAAGGAGGGGAAUUUGGAAAUAUAUGUUCAAUAAUUUUAAUUUUCUUAGAGUCUUAGAUUACGAAAGUGGAGGAGAAGCAGGAUGCAUGUUACCCAAUGACAUUGGUAAACUCAUCCAUUUAAGAUUCUUGAGACUAAGGGAUUUGGAAUUCAUGAGUGCAAAGUUGCCAUCAUCUCUAGGCAACUUAAGGUGCUUGCAAACAUUGGAUUUAAGAAUAGAAGGCAGAUGCUCAGACUCUAUGCAUGUACCUAACGUGUUAUGGAGGAUGCAGCAACUAAGGCAUCUAUAUCUCCCCGAGGAAUGUAAUCGUAAAACAAAGUUGAAGCUGGGUACAUUGAGAAGCCUCCAAACACUUGUCAACUUCAACACCAAGAGUUGUUAUAUAAAGGAUCUUAUCAACAUGACUAAUAUUAGAGAGUUGGAAAUUCGAGGGCCCUUCAAUAUUGAAGAUUUUAACACGGAGGAGUUGGGCAAGAAUCCACUCAUCGUCCAAAGUAAAUAUCUUCAUUCCUUGUCUAUCAUCAAUUAUGAAGAAGGAAUAGAUCCAAGACAUUUGGCACACCUCCUUUCAAGUUGUGAUAGCAUUUCUAAGUUGAGCUUAGAUGCGGAGAUAAGAAGGUUACCAGAGUACCACUACUUGUCUUCAAAUCUCGCUUACAUAAAGUUGAGAAGGUGUAUGCUUGAGGAAGAUCCAAUGCCAACACUUGCGAAACUGCCUUACCUAAGUAUGCUUGAAUUACAUGAAGAGGCUUUCAUAGGAAAGGAAAUGUUUUGCUGUGGACAAGCUUUUGCUAAACUUGAGUCUCUAAGCCUUAAGAAGCUGAACUUUCUGGAGGAGUGGAAGGUGAGUGAAGGAGCCAUGCCUUGUCUUCGGCGAUUGGAGAUACAAAGAUGCAGACAGCUAAAAAAGCUUCCAGAUGGACUGAGGUUCAUUGCAACCCUCCAAGAACUGAAGGUUGUUACAAAGAUAAAGACAUUCAAGGAUAAAGUGGAAGAAGGGGGAGAAGAUUUCUACAAAGUCCGACAUGUUCCUUCUAUCAUAUUGCAAUACACUUUAUGGUAGUGAUUAUGAUUAAUGCCAGGUAAUUCAUAAUCUUUGUUUUAGGAAAUACUUAACCCAUUUGUUUAUACAUAAAAAUCCACAACUAUUUUGCAUGUUUAUACAUCAUAUUGACAAUUUUUUAAUAUUUCCUCUUCAGGUAUUGAAGCCCUUGCCAUUUUUUUUUAUUCUGUUGCUUCUCUUCAUGGGACCAAAUAUAUGUAAAAAAAGUUGUAACAGUACUGUGUGAAAUUGUGUACGUGGUGUGAACUUUUUUGUAUUGUAAAAUUAGAGAUUUGAAGUUGUCUUGUAUUUUCUAUUCGCUAGAGAUUGGGUGUUUUUUUUUUUUUGUUAUAAAUUUCAAAAUUGUAAGGUGCAAAAUUAUGAAAAGCUUUUUAGGUAACUUCUAUUAUACUGUACAUCCCUUGCUUUAAAAUUUUAAAAUUUUAAUAUGAUAAUAAUAUCAUAGUGUGAUGCAAUAAUUCAAUUUUUAAGUAAAUGAAUUUAAAGGUAACAAUAAUUAGAAAAAGCAUGGUAAGUAUGUGAUUGAAUUAGUGUCAUUAAUCAACUUGAUAUUAAUUCAGUUAAUGAAUUUUCAAAAAUAACCUUACAUAUUUUAACUAAGUUAUGGGUAAUGCGUAUUCGGUAAAUAUACUUUCAUAAAAUAUCUAAUUUGAUACCUAUACUUUGAAAAUGUUCAAUGUAGUACCUAAAUUAUUUUUUUAAAAAUUUUUCUAAAAAAAAUAGAAUUUUAAAAAUUUAACAUUAGGGACUAUUUUUAGCAUUAUACCUUUUAAAUUCAUCGAGGAAAAAUUUUACUGUAAUUUUAAAAUUUUAUCAAAGUUAUGCAAUCAUAUUUGGUUCUUGAUGGUACUAUAUUUUUUUAGUUUUGGAUCUGUAAUUUGAUAGGGUCUUUUCCUUCUUCUUUUGUCUUUUUAAUUCAAGCAAUUUGAUUUGGUUUUCUAGAGUAUUUGAUCCAUAAAAGUAUCACAUGUAUUAUAUUUUAAAUUACAUUUUAGUUUUUGUAUUGAAAAAAUGGACGAGUUAAUCUUAUCUGCUAGCUAGAUGAGUUAAAAAAAUAGCCCUUCCCUUAAAAUUUGGUUUUAUAUAUAAGAUAUAAUAAUAAAUUUAGCCCUAACAUUUAUAUAUUUGAACCCUACUCUUUUAUUGGAAGUAAAUUAAAAAAAUUUUGAAACUAAUAAGACUAAAAAGUUAAAAAGGCUUUAAUAACAAAUUAAAAAAAUCAAUUAAGCUAUUUUAAAAUUUAAAAACUAUUAAAAAAUUCAUAAAAUUAUAAAUAAAAUGUUAUAAAAGUUUUAAAAUUAUAAAAUAUUUAUUAAAAAUAAGAAUACCAAUCCAUUAAAUCUAAUAGUUAUAAGAUUUUUCAAAAAUGACCCUACUCUUUUAUUGAGCCAGUAUUGUUAUUUAUUAAAAAAAUUAUAAAUUUAUAUAUAUUAAUAAUUUACCUUAAGACCUAACAAUUUACCUAGUUCCAAAGCUUCUAUAGCCUCUUCAAAAUUACAUUCUUACCAUUCUUGAACAGUAACCGAAAGCGAUUCAAUGACAAAUUUCUUUAACGAUUUAGUACAAGCCAAUAAUCUAGAAAUGUCCCUUUCUUGGUCUGCCUCAUCUCUUUUCCAUUGCCUCAUCUUUUUUUUUCUCCUUAAGCUCACAAAUUCGUCAUCAUCAAAAUCAUAGAUGCUUCUUACUUUCCUGUUAUUGCGCAUGAUUUAAAAUUUGCUCUAAAUUUUUAGAAUCGCUUUUGAUGCAUAUUCCCGGUGAAACAAUGCAGUUUGUCCCAUCCUUGUAAGUUCUCACUUCUUCAACCAUCACGUAAUAUCUCUCAUUGGCCUCACUAGGAUCAUAAUCAUAUCCUUUUCUAGCCCAAAAUCAAAUUGUUACCUAAUUAAUUGAGGGAGGAUCAGCUUUUUCUAAAACAAAAUUUGAAGUAUCGUUCGCUUAGCAAUCAAUUUGGAGCCCUAACAAACGAUGCUAUCAUCUCCUGAAAAAGUCUUUGAAAUGGUUGCCCUAAGGGUCUAGUUCAUAGAACCCAAGUGGUGCUAGAUACCCCAAACAAGUGACCUAUACUCACAUCACUUCUCUAUCUUUGUCUUCCUCUCAUUUUCUUAACCAUGACAUUUUGAUGUAUUGUUUGGAUGUGUUUUGCCUUAUGCUGAUCUAUUUUGUUGUGUUCCUGUGAUGUUUUUUUUUUUUUGGCUUCAUUCAAUCUAUUCUGUUGUUAAAAACAAACAGAAUAAUGUUCAAAAUUUUAACAUUACAGCAUUCCAAAAGAAACACGUUCAAUCACUAACAGACCUACUUUUACAUCAAAGCAAUAGCUCACCACCAAGCUUUAAACAUUUUCUCAAGAUUUAUACAUGCAAUCGCCAAGGAAGAUGCCAUUUCGUUUUCAUUCUUUUAUGCCAUAAAAAAAAAAAACAUUUCUUAUCUUCUCAAUGUCUCUUUUAAUAUCUGCGAAAGUUGCUUGAAGUCACUAUGGUCUCAUCAACUUAUUUGCACACCAAUAAAACACCACUAUUGAACCAAGUUCUAUAAAUAGAGAAUCAUUUAGCUUCCAUUUCAUAGCUAAAAAUACUUCCAAUGCUACCAUCACCGCACCAAUCUCUGCCAAAUCAGUAUCAUCUGCUGCUACGGAACCUGAAAAUAAAGCUCUUGCGACUCCCUCCUUAUCUCUCAAGACACCUCCACAACCUACUCUAUCCUCAUUUGCAAUUCCACAAACAUUAAAUUUUAAACAACCAUGUAGAGGAGAGCGCCAUAACGAUGCAGCUAAUUUGGAUUUAAUUGAAUCAAUCCUGCACCUAUUUGGACAUAUCCACCAAAAGUUCUCUUGCAAUAUAAAAUUCAUCAUAAACAGAUUUAAUCCAUAGCAAUGCCCUUAUCUUUGAUUAAAAAACCAAAUUUUUCAUAGUCAUCAUCCUUCUUUCAAAGACCAUACAAUUUCUUGCAAACCAUACUGUCCAGCAGGUUGCCGAAAUUAUAUGAACAAAAAAAUUUUCGUCAUUUCAGCCAUUUUCAUGUUAUUACACAAUGACUAGAAUUCCUCAAAACCAUCUACAUGUUUUCAACUAACCUCCCACCAAUUGAAUAUUUUAACCCAAAAACCUUCAAUAAAUUUGCAUUUGAAGAACAAAUAGUUUGCACUCUUCGGAACUCUUUCGCACCAUGGACAGCUAAUCGAGAUGUUUUGAAGAUUCACCCCUCUUUUGACCAGAAAUUCCUUUGUAGGAAUUCUGUCAAUAGCAAGCAUCCAUAGAAAACUUUGUACUCUUGGUGGUACCUUAAGUUUCCAUAUUUUAUCAAAAGCAAAAUUUGUAUCCUCCCCUCCAUCCAUUAUCAAUAUUUCAGAGCAUUUUCUUACCGAAAAUUCCCUGUUUCUAUGAUUUGCCCAACAAAACUUAUCCUCUACAUCUGAAACUAACACUGUCCUACUCACCCUCUCCACCAAUUUGCUAAGCAUCACCUCCUCUUUUCCCAAUAACGAUCUUGUAAAGAGGUCGUUCCAUUCUUCUCUACAAAACCCAUAAUUUCUUAUAAAAUCAGCUAUCGUUCCUUCCUUUUGUCUUGUAAGGCGAAAUAGACUUGGAAAUUCCUGUUUUAAUGGAAGAUUACCACACCAUAUGUCCAUCCAAAACAUCGUGGUCCUACCAUUCCCAAUCCUCCAGCAAAAAGAGUCCAUCCCCACCCAAAUCCAUUCCCAAUCCUGUGAUGUUAAUACUUGGAUUCUAAGAUUUUAAGCACAACGUAAAUAUUGUGACUAAGAAUUUGAAUAAGGAAUACAUACAACAAACGGCACAGCCAAAAAAUGAAAGAGUAGCCCCAACAUAAAACUCUGAUUGCUUCAAUGGUCAAUCCAUCUAGCAAUAGCCAAGCACACAAAAAUUAAGUUUUUAAUUUAGCUUUGAUUCUAGAAAAUAAUAUAUAUAAAUUUAAACAUAUUAAAAUGAUAUAUAAAAACUCUAAAAUUUUAUAAAAUUAUAUUCUACAACUAUCAAGACUAUCAAAAAUAAAUUCCUACUCAAAAGUAAUUUUGCAAAUAGCAGUGAGUAAGGUCGAAUCCACGUCUACCAGUGAUUCUAUUUCAUCAAUAAAAAUAAACAAAUUAAAUAUGAUGAGGAUUUUUAUAAAACUAAAAUAAUUAAAACUAUAACUAAAGAAAAAUAAAAUUCAAACUUAGUAGAAAAACAAUAAUCAAAAGUUGAGAGAAAGUCAAAAGGUAAAACUUUGACUAAAGGUAAAAUCACAGUUCGAUUCAUAAGUUUGAUCAUUAAGAAAAGAUGAUUUUGAGCCGUGCUUUAAUAAAUUGAUUAUAAUUCUCGAUGAUCAUCUAGCAACUAAUCUCUUCUUACCUUCUUGAUAAAUAAGACAAACGCUAUUAAUUAAUUCCCUUAUUGAUAAACAAUCAUAUAAUGACCACUUUAAAUUUAAUCUAUCAAUAACAUUAAGAAUGAAAGAGACCCAAUUCUAACCAACAAAUUUAAAUAUACAAUCAAAGUUUAUUUAAGUUGGACCAUAUGCCCAUACAACAUAGAAUGCAUAUCUUUGUCAUUCUCACCUACAUUGCUUAUCACUAGUAUACAAUUAUUGAUUUGACACUUCUAACUGACAAGACAAAUAUUCUAAUCAAUUAAAUAUGAGUCAUAUAUUCAACAAACCUAAAUAUUUGCAAUUAAAUAAGAAGAUAUAUGAAUAUUAAAGAACAAAGAAAGAUGAAGAACAUUUAGAUGUGACAAAAUCUUCAAGUCAAACUUCGAAUUUCCUUCAACUAGAAAAAAAUUUAGCAAGUCAUGGAGAAAAUAGAACACAAAAGUAAAAAUAAUGCUAAGGGGUGACUAUGUCUAGGUAUAUCCCUAUAUAACUUAAUAAUAUCUAUUUAUAGAGUAAAAAGCACAUAAUGAAAAAAACAUACAAAAGUGUCCUUAAUUAAAGAAUAUUUAUAGGUUUCUUGGUAAUUUUUGCGUCAAAAUUUCAAGCAAAUUUCGGACACAUUCCCAAUAUUUUUUUAGCUCGAGUUGUGAAAUAACUUUUUUUUUAGAUAUUUUGAUUCCUUUCGAAUCGGUUUAUUAUGAGACAAAAUAGAAUUUUGUAGCUCAAGUUAUGACAAAAAAAAAAUACUAAAACUUGUAAAAAAAAAAACUAAACUCUUUUUUCUUCAAUUAUUUCCUAAAUCUAUAAUAAGUAAAAUAUAAUUCUUAAUAAUAUAAUUAAUUAUUUAAAUAGAAUAAUUCAAUAAAAUAAAUAUAAAAAAUAAUUAGAAAAUUACAUACUUAUCAAAUUUCCCUACAUUUCAACUAUGCUCGUCCUCAAGCUUGAAACUAAUGAAAAUGCAUAUACAUAUACUUACUCAAAUCAACAAUUAAAAAUAUCGUUAUAUUUCAAUGAAACAAGAAAAUAUGCUUUUAUAAAUAGAACCCAAAUCUAAAUUUUAUAUGAUAAUAAAAAUUAUAAGAGUAACAAUAAUUUAUACAAUAACCCAAAACACAAAUCCAACCAAAGAAAAAGACAUGAAUAUGUUAACUGUAAACAAAAUACUAAUAAUAUUAAACAAGCAAAAUAUAAUAUAUAAAAAGUGACUAAACACAAAUUUAGGGCCAAAUUACCAAAAAAAGCCCCUUUUUUUUUAAAUUACGGAAAUGAGCUGGUUUUUUAAUUAUUUACCGGAAUGGGCCAUUUUCCGCGAAAUCGCGGCCACGUCAGCGCGAUGUCGGGGAACUUGACAGGAGAUCGCGUCCACGUCAGCGCGACCUGCCGACGUGGAAGGAAAUCGCGUCCUUGAGGAAACGAUUUCCUUCCACGUCAGCAGGUCGUGCUGACGUGGACGCGAUUUGCCCGGGCGAGUGACCCAACGGUCAAAAAAUUGACCGUUGCCCCCCCCAACGGUAAAAUUUUUUUUAAACUAUAUAAACCCCCCACCCCUUUUAUUUUCACAAACAAAUUCUCAAAUUCCUUCAAAAAUUCUCUCAAUUCCCUUCCAAAAUUCUCUCAAACUCCCAAAUUCCUUCCAAAAUCCUCUCAAUUUCCUUCAAAAAAUCUCCAAAUCCAUAUUAAAUUUAUUUUUCCAUUAAAUUUCAUUUUUUAAGAAAAUUUUACAAUUUUUUAUUUUUUAAAAAUAAUUUUAAAAUUUUUAAUAUUUUCGACAAUGGCCGGAUCAUUGAUUCGUCUUGAUAGGAAUCACAUAUCGGUGGAGCAAAUGAACAUGGUAAGUAUUAAAUUUAAAUUUUAUAUUUUAUUUAAGAUAUUUUUAUUUAUGUAUUUUUAGAUAUUUAUUGAUUUAUUUUUUGUUAUAAAAGGCUAAAGAUCGCGUAUUGGAAUGCAAUAUUCGGAAUAUGCAUGCUCCUCCAUCACCGUUAGUAGAGAACUACCUCCGGGAAGCGGGAUUUUGGCACGUGGCGACGGUAGGCCGGGGAUGCAAGUUGGAGCCAAAACUGAUCAGUGCGUUGAUCGAGAGGUGGAGACCCGAGACGCACACAUUUCAUCUUCCAUGUGGAGAGUGCACUAUCACUCUAGAAGAUGUCCAUCUACAUUUGGGAUUGUCGGUGGACGGACACCCAGUGACCGGGUCUGCCCAAUCUAGCAAUUGGGAGGCGGUGUGCUACGAGCUUUUGGGCGCCGUUCCGGAUAAAAUGGAUGGAGGUAAUGUGGAGAUGGGCUGGUUACGUGCGACCUUCUCCGAUCUGAAUGAAAAUUCAACCGACAUUGAAAGAAUCCGAUAUGCUCGAGCAUACAUUCUUCAAAUAAUUGGAGGCUAUCUCAUGGUCGACACGUCACGGAGCCGUGUACAUCUAAGGUGGCUGCUAAAUCCCAGUCAUCAGACGACUCCACCGGUGUUAUUGCAUAUGCAAUUGGAAGAAUUCUCCCACCGCCGUCCUGUGCCACUGCAACCAAUAGCCGAUGAGUGUACCUACCGAACAUGAAGGUACCGUCAAUUUGUACCAACGGCUUGCAGUACGGAAAUGCGUCUCGACAUUGCUUAAAGGUCCAAAAUAGGCGUUUGAACACUUGGCAUCCACGUAGCAAUCGGCCGUUGUAGUACGCAUGUUCCGUUUGAAGGUCUGUGAUGGCGCCUGGGACGUAUCUCUCUAGCACCUGACACCAUUGCCAUAUUUCAUUAUAUGAGGCGUCCCACCCACUAUGCAUCUUCUCCAAUGCCUUUUGCUUAGCUAUCCAAGCCUUGCGGUAAGAGGGCGUGUACCCCAUUUGGCUACGGAUAUUGGCAAUUAUCAUCGGCACUGAAGUCUGAGGAUCUGCUUUUAUCGUGGGCAGUAUCAAGCUAGCCAACAUAGCUGAAUCCAUUUUCGGAUGAUCUUCUGAAACACCUACAGAGGGAGGGAGUACAUUAAAUAAUGCAACAUUGGAAAAAAAAUAUUAUUCAGAGACAUUCAAUACUGUACCUGCAGCACAUGUAUGUGGACCUCUGUACUUUUUUAUCUCCCACAACCCUGUCCUCUUCCUUAACGAGGCGACGAUUUUCCAUGAACAUGUGCCGUCUUGCACCGCACACUUCGCCUCAAACUUAUCAGAUUUUGAUUUAAUGACAUGGUAAUUAACGCCGUUUUUGAUGCUAUGCUGUUUCAAAGCACCAAUAAAACUAUCCUUAUUGGUAAACUGAUUACCAACUUCAAGUUCACCGAGAUCUACCCCCGAACUUGUACGAUCGCGCACCCGGUGUGGUAGAUUUGGAAACUCUAACGCAUCAUCAUUUGACAGAUCGACAUUAUGCAUGUGGGCUGGAGGUGAGUAUGCUCUGAAUCGUGGAUUUUCUUCAUCAUCUGCACUCCUAUCACCAUCUUCACCUUCUGUUGGAAUAGGCUCCGGUUCAGAAAAUAAUCCCACCUCUGCACCAUCUGGCCCGGGCUCUCGAGGUGGAUCAACAUCGGAGUCACCUUCUGACCCACAAUCAUCUGCAGCGUACGACGUCCCCUCACCGGUUGAUGUCGUAGGUAGUACGUCAUCCCUUCUGGGCAUUUGAUAACGUCCUCAAUUGGAUGUAGAUUUCCAUCUAGUAGAACUUGAUGCAGAACCCCAGCUCGUAUUUCCUGCGUCAAACGUCGAGCCACCGACGUACAUGUCCCAUCCACCAACAGAGUGUCUUGGGGGGGAAGUGCAUUCGACACCGCUACCGAACAUGGGCUGUUCUGUAUUUUGUAACACGCUAACGGAGUGUCGGCCAGGGGUCGUGUAUACAUCUCGAACACCGGACGGAAGUACAUCAGUUGGCGACGUAAAUUGUACAUAUAACUCAAUAUAAGUUACUCCGCUAGCAAGAUGAGUCUGCACCAUUGCCUCCAAGCUACGAGCACCUUUUAUGUCGAACGAGUCAUAUGUCACCGGAUCAACAGAAGAACAAAAUCGAUACGUCAUUGACAGAACUUUCAUUGGCGUCGUUCCGAAGAUUUUACGCCUAAUUCUUUUACGGAGUUCUGUCAAAUCUAUGUUUUGGCUAAAUGACAGUCGCACCGUAUUCUCUGACAAAAAAACAACACCAUUCUCGGUGUGGCAAACCUCACCAUCGUAGUAAAUAACAGCACUAAUACGUUCACUCAUUUUGAAACUCUAAGUUUCUUAGCCUCUCUAAAAUUUUUCUGCUGUGAGUUAUGCAUUCUGUGGAACAUUUUCUGCCUAAUUUAUAGCCUCAGCCCAAACUUGCUACUGUAGCAAAAUCGCGUCCACGAGGGCGCGAUUUGACACUAUUUGCUCAGAAACGUCAAAAAAAUUAUUUCCUACAUGACCAACUGUAGCGAAAUCGCGUCCACGAGGGCGCGAUUUCACAAUUUCUGCCCAAUAUAGCAUCCUUGUAUCAGCGAUUUUAUACUAUUUGCUCAGAAAACGUCAAAAAAAUUAUUUCUUACAUGACCACUGUAGCGAAAUCGCGUCCACGAGGCCACGAUUUCAUAAUUUCUUCUCAAAUAGCAUCCUAGUAGAAGCGAUUUCCCACUAUUUGACCAGAUACGUCAAUUCGAAAUUUUUUUUUCCGGGACCCCUAACCCCUAAAAAGCCUGCACCCUAAACCCUAAAAGCCAAAAAACACAAACGUAAAAUCAGCGUCAAAAUCGCGUCCACGUCAGCGCGACCUGCUGACGUGGAAGGAAAUCGCUUCCUCAAGAACGCGAUUUCCUUCCACGUCGGCAGGUCGCACUGACGUGGCCGCGAUCUCCUGUCAUGUACCCCGACAUCGCGUUGACGUGGCCGCGAUUUCGCGGAAAAUGGCCCAUUCCGGUAAAUAAUUAAAAAACCGGCCCAUUUCCGUAAUUUUAAAAAAAAUGGGCUUUUUUUGGUAAAUUAGCCCAAAUUUAGAUUAUAUCACAUUUUUAAAAUUAAACUAUUUGCUCACUUCAAUUAUGUUAUACAAUGCAUAUGAAAUUUAAUUUAAUUUUUUAUAUUUCAAAAUAUAAAUCUAAUUGCUAUUAUUGUUAAAAUAUUUUUGUUAAAUUCACUGAUACGACACUUUCAAUUUCUUUUUAAAGAAAAAUUCACUUAGAAGUCGUGUAACAAAAAAAAAAUUGACAUUGUAAUGAACUUGAAUUUAAUAGAAGAAUUUUAAUGAUAUUAAUAAUUGGACUUGUAUUUUUAAAUCCUAAAAAUAGAGAUCUUAAAAUAAAAAUAGAAAGAUUAAUUUCCAAAUGUUCAAAGAGUAAUGGACUUGGAACAUAUUUUAACCUAUUUAUUCACGUGGCUAAUUUAAAAAUGCUUCCAAUACAUGUAAUGUAAGCCACAGGAGCAAACUUUUUUAUUUUAAAAAUGUCACAUGAUCUAAUUUAAUUGAAGUCCUUUGAGAAUGUUAUCAAUCAGACUUUAAUUAUUAAAUCAAAACAAUAGAGUUUUGGGGAAAUUCUAGUGAUUAAAAAGAAAAGGACUAAAUGAAACGUACAAGGAUCGGAAGCAAAUUAGACCAAUUACCCAAAUUCCUUUUUAUCCGAUCUAAGAUAGCCUUCUCCAGAUUCGGCUGGCCACUUGGCUUGUAAGACCCGUUGUCAGUUACCGCUCUCCUUAGAUCCCUCUCUCUUCUUUAUUCUUCCUUUUUUCUUAAUUUUAGUUUGAAUUUUCGUCAGCUUCGUCUGUCUCUGGGAUCCUACAUAUUUUAUUCAUAAUCGAUUUGAAUAUCCACACUCAAUUCUCAUUCUGAGUUUCUUUCGUUAGGUCAUCCUAAUUAUCCGAGUGAGAAAAAUAGAUUAGAGGCCGCAGUCAAUUCUCUGUUUCGAUUCUAAAUCUGUAGGGAAGUGUGAGAUGGAGGGAUCACCUCCACCAUGAAUGCAGAGAGACGAUGGAUAUAGAAGAAUAUAAAAAAUUCAAGCCUUCUUUGGUCAUGUCUUUUUUAUCCUGCGUCGCUUACCACUAUACUGGCUGGUUCCUUCUUCUUUUUUAUUCUCAAUAUUCAAUUCCAUGCCAUCUGUUUCCUCGAAUUUAGGUUUUUCAUAUAGGAUUGUAUUUUAAUUAAUAGGAACUUAUCAUAUUAAAAGUUUGGUAACGGAAAGAAAGAGAAAACUUAUCUUUCCCAUUUUCUUCUUCAACAUUUGGCUAUAGGCAAAACAAAAGAAAAGUUUAGGUUUUCCUUGCAAAUCACCAUAACCGUGAGCUUGCCAAAGGUUCUAAGUAAGUUUUCUUUCUUAAUUUUUAUUAAAUUAUGCUUUAAGGAUGUUGAAUUUAAUUAGCCCAUGUAUUAGAUUUGAGAAUUGUUAAGAUAUUGAUUGAAUCACCAUGGUUGGAAGUUUUAAGGAAAUCUUGAAUGUUAUAGUUUAAAGUCAUGCACGAGUAAGGCUAAUUAUUGAGGACCUAGGUGUAGAAGAUAAAAAUUUUGAGGUUUGAAAAUGAACAAUAGUUAUGAGUGGUCCUCUGUUAUAUUUAUAAUUAGAUUUAAAUUCGAUCGUAUAAAUUGUGAGAUAUGAGCUUUUUGAAUAUUAGGAGCUUGAGGGAUCAAUUUGUAAUAAAUGCAUUCAUGUUUAGAUGGUCGUAAUCUAUGUUCGAAUUGUGUGAUUAACAAGUUUUUGUAAUUCGAAUUUAAUUUCCUCGCUAAAGAGGGUAUCAGACCAUCCUCAACAAAGGGAAAUUCACAACCGUCGACGAAUAAUCAUUUUUAGUUUGUGCUUAUAUAAUUCACUUUUAAUAACUGGUUCAUAGUCUAGUGUCAUUAUAAAUAACUACGAAAUAAAUGCGAGGUAAUUGUAUCUCUCUCUAAAAUUAUGAGAAAAUGAAUUUGAUAUCGCGUGGAAUUCGAGUUAUGCGUGAUUGACUUGUGAUUUGUAUAUGGAUGUACAUAUAUGUUUGAUAUAAAUGUGUAUAUAUAUAUACAUUAGUUUUAUUGAAAAGAUUGUGAAACACACGGAAAGUGUCCAUUAAGACAAAACACACAAGGGCCACCUUUUAUGGUUACAGAACAACACAACAUACAAUAAAACACCUAGGUAGCACACUUAUAAAACAUCUACAGAAAAAGGCCCACCUACCUCCAAGCAAUGAGGUUUUCUGUGCUCUACCCAUUGCUUUUUUUUCAAAAAGAAAAAAUCGCUGAAGAGUUCACCUCUCUACCUUUUUGUAAAUCUUUGUUGAACUCGCUCGACGAUCCUAAUCAACCACCAUGGUUUUCCAGUCGCGAAUACGAUGUAUCCCAUACUCAAUCCUAACACCAAUCCACAUCCAUACCCCAUCAAAAUAGAAAAUUUCCAAUUCAAUUCAUCAUCAUCUCUAUCAAAUUUGACCAAAGUUCCCCUAUAAUUAUCACAUCUUUUUGAUAAUGGCAAGCCGCAUAAACCCAAGUUUUCUUUGUAAGAAUCAUUAGUGAAAGUAUCAAAUUGUUUGCCUUGAGGAAUGGGUCCCUCGAGAUUAUUUUGAGAAAGGUUUAGCACCUCUAAGAAUCCAAGAUUUGUUAACUCUGUUGGAAUUCUUCCUUGGAACUUGUUUGAUGAGAGAUCUAAUGAUUCAAGUUCAGACAAAUCACCUAAUGAUGAUGGGAUAGGACCUGUUAAGCAAUUAUGAGAGAGGUUUACGAUAAUAAGUGAAUGAAGCUCACCAAGUGUUUUGGGCAAUUCUCCGAAGAAUUGGUUGUCUGAAAAGUCAAUUACCAUCCAUUUGGUUAACAGUGAUUGAAACUCUGUUGCCGACCCUUUUACUGUAAAAGAUAAACCAUAAGCAAAAUUGAAAGCAACAUAAUCUGAUACAUCUUCCAUGUACUCUGGUUCAAGUUUAUUUUCAUGCCCCUUUCUAACGGAAUGUAGAUUUUUAAAAAAAUUGGUAGGUAAGUAGCCACUGAAGUUAUUGCGAGAAAGAUCAAUGAUGCGCAAGCGAGAGAAGGAAACUGUAACAUCAGAGUUAUCCAUUUGGCCAAAGAAUUUAUUCGAUCUCAAGACAAGAACUUGUAGAUGAUCUAAAUUUCCUAACCAGUUCGGGAAAGUGUCAUUCAACUUGUUGUUCCCAACAUCGAGAAGGUUCAAAUCUUUGCAAUUACCUAAAGAUCGUGGCAGUGACCCUCCUAUUUGGUUGUUGUUGAUACGAAAACUUUGUAACGUGCAAUAUUUAGCAAAACUUUCUGGUAUUUUACCAUGAAAAUUAUUAUUCCAUAGAUCAAUGUGUGAAAGAGAAGAACUCAAGUUUCCAAUGCACUCAGGAAUUGUUCCGUUAAAACUGUUGUUCCAUAAACUGAGAACUUUAAGGGAACUUGAAUUGCAUAUUGACGAAGGGAUGUCUCCAACUAAUUUAUUUCUUGAAGCAAAGUACCAAAGCAAUGAAGGUGGUGGAGUUGGAAUUUGUCCUGAAAGAAAAUUUAGACUAUAUUAGAAUUAGGAGUUUGAAGAUUCUUUGAAACGAAAAAGGUAAAUAAACUACAUUUCUAGUGUAACACAUGGAUGAAUCUAGUCAGUUGACAUAGUGUUUAUAGGUUUGUUAUGAAAUUCCUACUUGAAAAUUAAUAUGUAGAGACAAACUAAACAACAAUGUGAUGAGAGGAGGUAAGUUUGACUAAUUCCAUCAUUCUCCCUUUUAAAAAAUAAAAAUAAAUUAAGUCAAUAUAGUAAAAUUACCUUUUUACUCUAAAAAAUUUAUGGUUUAAUCCUUUUAGAGAUUGUAAUUUUAAGUUAAUAAAAUGGUAAAAAUAAUCUUUGGACCCAUUAAAAAUAUAUAAUUAAUUCCUUGCCUAUAAAAAUUGUGUUUUUUCCUUCUCCCCUACGUUUCGUGAACAACUUCCACCUAAAAUGCAGUGGAAGGAUUAUGGGUGAUCUUUCAGUACCAUGGUAAGGUCAUGGACGCAUUCUUUCCCAGAAAAAGGAGCAAAACGAGAAAGAGAUUCGGUUUUGUCAGAUAUGCAAAUUCAAUGGAUGUUGAGAAGGCCAUAAGCACAUAUUAAAUGGGUAUAAAGUGUUGGGCGACCAAAUUGAUGUCCAUAGUUCUAUUCUGUAUACUAGAACAAAACUCUAGAGGAGAGUGACAUCUAGGAACCCAAAGGACAAUCCAUAUGCAACACAAAAGGUUACACAAUCCCAAAGUUUUAAUGAAAGUGUAAUGUCUACAACCAAAAGGGUUGAGUAGAAAGUCAGUAAAGAAAUUAGAAAGAACUCACAUGAUGAUUAACUCUCUCUUGCGCACUUUUGAAUAUGAAAAAAGUGCAGGAUUUCUUUGUGGACCUUUUUGUUAGGAAAAAUAUUUAUAAAUCGUUGUUGGUGCAUUUGUUAUGGGUCGUAGUUCAAGCCCGUGACCAUCACACAAAAUGCAUCCCAUAGAGGUCUAUCAUUAACAUAGGGAUCACUUGGCCCACAAGAAUUGGCCCGAUUCAAAGAGUUGUUGGAGUAGCUUGUCAGAUUAAAGCCUGAAUGAUGAAGAUAUGACAAUAUAGGCUACAUUAGUAAUAGGGAAACUAAUAUUAGAAGAUUAAGGGCAAUCAUAUCUUAUAAGAUUAGAUUGGAUUUGAUUAUGAAAAUUCAUUAUGUAAUAUUGUAAAUCCCUAGAUUUAAGGGAUAAGCUAAUAUCAUCCGUCAAUUUAACUUGAUCUAGACCAUCAGUUUUGGGGGAGCUCAACUUUAAAUAGAGAGCCUUCCCCUCACUUUUAACUCACUUCAUUCUUUCAUUGUUUCUUGUAUUUUUUGAGAGAAAGUAAUACAAUUGAGAGCAUUUAUUCAAACACCUCUCAUGCAUAGUUUUCUUUGGCUUUCUGUUCUUUUGAGCCUUUUUUUGGCUAAGCUGCUUCCACUAUAUAAAUUAGUGUCUUGUAGGAAUUCUUUGUGAAUCUUCAAUUGUCUGGUGGUUAGGUUAACUUAGGCGUGUUUGUACCGAAAGGAUCAGCUAAGGCUGUACAAAAUGCAAGAUUAAAGUUCUAGCCUUAUUAUAAGUGGUAUUAGACCUUAGGUUACAAAAGCACCAUCGAGAUGUCGAAACAAGUUGCCAAUAAAAAUUAGGCCAGAAAACUAGUCAUUUUGAAGGAUAUGUUGUAGGUAGUAGAGGAACAAGUGGAUAAAAUCGAGGAGUCCACGGAGGACGUGAAGGAGUCACACGAUGUGCUUAGUGAACGCAUAGAUGACUUGAGGGAGCAAUCCACGGGCUUUGUGAUCAUAUCUCCCACUUUCGAUAGGGAAAGUGUGCAAGAGUUGUUGAAUUCCCAUAAGAAGAAGCUGGUGGAGAGGAACAAUGCUCUGAAGGUCAUGGUGAUGGCUUUGAAGGAGGAAAAAAUGGCCACGACAAAGGCUUUGAGCACAAGAAUAGAAGAGCUCAAGGGAGAGCUCGCAUUAUGUUGAGAAACUGUGGGGAAUAGAGUGUCGAGUGUAGCACUUAAUUACAAGUAUGUCCUGAAGUUGAAAGAGUUUACGGGGACAAGGUUUGCAUACAAUAUGGACAAUUUUUUAUGGAGGAUAGAGCACUACUUCCAUGGAAAAGACAUUGUGGAGAUGCGAGUAAGGUAAAUAUUGCUUUCAUGUUUCUUACUAAUUUUGUGAUUUUAUGGUGUCAAGGUAGGUCCUCAGAUAAAAGGCAUAGUGAGAUUAAGACGUGGGAAGAGUUCCAACAUGAGUUGAAGGGCCAGUUUUAUCCAAAAUUUGCCGAUGAGGAAGCUCGGGCAAAGUUGCGAUGGCUUACACAACGACACACAGUGGGGGAGUAUGUUCAAGAGUACAAGGAACUUAUGCUCCAAAUUUUAGACAUGACCAAGAUAGAGGCAUUGCUUCCUUUCAAGAAUGGAUUAAAGUCGUGGGUCAAACAAGAAUUGGAACGAGAAGGUGUCUAAGAGCUAUUGAAAGCCAUGAUGAUAGAGGAGACGGUGGUCAAGCUUAGUCUAGGGAAAGACAAGCUUGAGUCUUCCAAGUCCAAAGAAAGGGGCAUAUGUAAAAGGAAUCACGAGGAAGAUAGUGGCAAUGACAACGACAAUGAUGGUAGUAAUGGGAAACCAUGAGUUAGGAAGAAUAAACCCAAUAAAAAGAGAGGAAAUGUGAGAUGAUUUUUUUUUAAGAUGGUCACAUUUAUUGAAGAAAUGUCCAAAGAAAUCUGUAUUUUCUAAGAAGGACAACCUAGAAGGUAAGGUUGUGAGACUUGGUUCGAGUGCAAGAGUGUCGAAGCCAAUGAGGUCGAAGAUGAGAAAAAGCUAGUGGAGUGCUUCUUGUGUCAUGGUCCGUAUAGGUUGUGAAAAUGUCCAAGGAAGUCUACCAUCAAAGGGGACAAUGCGUCAGACAAUGAGCCUAAAAAGCUUGGUUUAAGCAAAGGAAAAGUUGAAGCCAAGAAGACAAAGAGGAGCAAAAAGAAGCGAGUAAAGUGCUUCUUGUGUCGUGGUCUGCAUGAGUUAUGGAAUUAUACAAACCAAAUCAUGGUCAAAGAAAAGGAAACAUCGGAGCUUAUUGAGUCAUCGGAGCGGCUUCCACCCAAGGAGGAGGUGAGUUUGUCAUUGGAUUUAUGGGAAAAGUGGCAAUGAAAAUAGUGAAGCUAGGACCAAUGAAACUCAAUUUGAGUAAAGCGACGGAGUUGGCCGAGUCAUCGGUGAGGCUUUCACCCAUAGAAGAGGUGAGUUGUGCAUCGGACUCAGAGGAAAAAGUAGCGAUGCAAACUUUGAAGCUAGAAUCAAUGAGGCUCACUUCUAUUGACACAUUGGAGGAGCUAACACCUUUGGGUAAGGUGGGUUGUGCAUCAAACUUUGGGAAAGUGGUGAUGCAAGUUGGACAGUUGACCCAACUAAAUGUGACUUGUAAGGUACAUUUCGAACACUUUGGUAGUGUUUUACAUUCUAACUUGUUAACUUGGUAAGAACGUAGGCGCCCUUUCAAAGCUCUUAAGCAAGGAAACAAAAACACUAUAGGAAAUUCAAAGCCAUGUUUUGUGAAUCAAGAGGAUUUCAUUAGAAGCGAGUUAGAAUGUGGGCAAGAGAGAGCAGUGGAUUUUUACCAAUAAGAUGUACUGACGAGUGGGACGGUUCGAGUUAAGAGGUGAUGAAAGCUGAGGCAAAAGUUCUAAAGAAAGGGACAACCCAAUAGUAAGAUUAGUCAAGAAAAAGCUAAGGCGUCGAGAUAAGAUGAGACCGAGGUGAAUCAAGUCAGUGUCAUUCUGUAGGCACAACAAGGGCGUUACAAGAACAGGUGGGGGAGAAUGUCACGGAUCGUAGUUUAAAGCCCGUGACCAUCACACACAAUGCAUCCCAUAGAGGUCUAUCAUUGACAUAGGGAUCAUUUGGCCUACAAAAACUGGCCCGAUUCAAAGAGCUGUUGGAGAAGCUUGUUAGAUUGAAACCUGGGUGGCCCAAUGAUGAAGAUAUGACAACAUAGGCUACCUUGGUAAAUAGGGAUACUAAUAUUAAAAGAUUGAGGGAAAACAUAUCUUAUAAGUUUAGAUUUUAUUUGAUUAUGUAAAUUCAUUAUGUAAUCUUGUAAAUCUCUAGAUUUAAAGGAUAGGCUAAUCUUGUUUGUCAAUUUAACUUGAUCUAGACCGUUGAUUUUGAGGAGCUCAACUAUAGAUAAAGACUCUCCCCUCACUUGUAACUCACUUCAUUCUAUCAUUGUUUCUUGUAUUCUUUGAGAGAAAGUAAUACAAUUGAGAGCAUUUACUCAAACAUCGUCCGUGCAUAAUUUUCUUUAGCUUUCUAUUCUUUUGAGCCUUCUUUUGGCUAAAUUUCUUUCGAUAUAUAAAUUGGUGUCUUGGAGGAAUUCUUUAUGAAUCCCCAAUUGUUUUGUGGUUAGGCUGACUUAGGUAUUUUUGUAUCGAAAUGAUCGCCUAAGGCCGCACGGAACACGAGACUAAAGUUCUAGAGCCAUGACACAUUGCUAAGGAUUUUAACACAAUGUGUAAAAAAGAAGAAUAGAAAGGUUAUGGAAGUAGAAAUAUGGAAAUGAAAAAGGCUAAAAAUUUUAUUAAUAAGGAGAGCUUAUUGAUUAAGCAUUGUCUUCUUGUGAAAUUUUAGUUGGCAAUGACUUCAGAAAUCAAAGCUUAUUUGCGAAUCUUGUUGGGACUCUAGUUGUCCUAUUGCUAAUUUUUCAACUCAUUUUCAAAUAGUUCAUUGCAUUCCUUGGUUAUUCCCAUGUUUGAAUAGAUGUCCAAACAAGCCUUUAGGCAACAAUUUGGACAUUUCUUUAGGACAACUCAAGUAGAGUUCGUUGUUGGCGCUUUGACUUUAACCUCCCUAAUUAUUUUCUCUAUAACUAAAUGAUCCUUAAAUCAUGUUUUAUCUCUUCCUAAAUGAUGUUGAUCGACAUGCCUUAUCCCAUAAUACUUAUCUUUAUCUUAUAAGUCAUUUACUUGGUCAUUAAGCUGUUGAUUUCGUUUUAUAUUGAGAUAAAUAUUGGAGGUUUUUAUCCUUGAUAAUCAUGAAAUUAAAAUUACAAUCCUAUCUUCACAAAACUACCAAGGGGAGUUUUUGAUAUUGCCCAUAAAUAGGCAGCUUAUUCGCCUAGUUUGAUACAAAUUUCUGGAGGACUACUUAUGUUGUUUUUGCUAGUAUCUUUGUUGUUGAAUUUUACUUGUAUUUAACACUUAUUUCAUAGGUUUGUUGGAGAGUUUUAAACUUUCUACAAGUGAGGUAAUUUGAGUGAAUGGUUGUAACAAGUUAGGGUCAUCUAUUGAAGUCGCAAAUGAUUCUUGUGUAAGAGUAGAUUAGGCUUUAGUCAAUAGGAUACUCGAUUAAUUGUUGAACAAAUCAUUCACAAGCGAGGCUCCACGAAGUAGGAUUAUUUUUUAACUGUAUUAAUAAAGCUUGUAUGUUUAUCUCUUCCUUUAAUAUCUUUUGGUUAUUACCUUUGUUCAUUGUCUUGUUCAAACUCGUGUCUAAACAUCAGUUUCAACAAGAAGUAAACUUAUUGCUUUUUCAAUUGGUAUCAGAGUAGGCUUCAAGAGUUGUUUGAAGAUGAUCCUAUCACAUUUUGCUACCAUGGAGACCAUAAAAGUAGGAAGUUUCAUAUCUCAAGAUUAGUUGUUGGAUCAUCAAACUAUGCUUAUAUAAAAUAAUGUCCAUUUAUGAAGCUACAUGGGAAAAUAUUAAGGAAGGAUGGACAAAACUUAAGGAAAUUGAUUCUUAUGGAACAACAACGGCUAAGGAAAAUAAUCAAUAUACUGCUGAUGAGAGAAGGGCAAGGGCUACCUAAAAAACCCCCAAAGCCUUGUAUACUAUAUUCAGUCGGGUUGACAUGGGGCAGUACAAAAUGGUAUCAACUUGUAAAUCAACAAAAGAAGCUUUGAACAUCUUACAGAACCAGCAUGGAGGGAAUGCAACUUUUUCAAUGUCCAAAUUGCAAAUCAUGACUACCAUGCUAGAUUAUGUGACAAAACUAAUGAGAUAUUUCAUCUUGGUGAAUGUUUUUUCAAGGUUAAACUGCUGAGAAAAGUUUUUGCGGUUACUUCAAGAAUAUUUUGUUAUCAAAGUCACAGUAAUAAAAUAAGUUAAGGAUAUCACCACUCUUAGAUUGCAUGAGCUGUUAGGUUCUCUUAGAACCUUUGAGCUAUUAAAGAAAACAUGACAAGUUGAAACCUGAGAAGAACAUUGCCUUCAAUGUUUUGACCAAAAGAAUAUAACUCUUAGAAUAAGAAGAAAGAGGUUCAGUCCUAUGAAUGUAAAGGUUUUGGCUAUAUUCAAUCAGAAUAUGCCAAGUAUUAGAAUUGAGUGACCCGAAUCCUUGUUAAAAUAAAACACAGUGGUAAAAUAAAAUGAAAGUAAAAUCCAUAUAGAACUACACAUUUUUUUUAGAAUAAGGUUUUUCAACCUUAUUAUACUUCAUCUAUUUGAUAUUGAUUAGAAUAAGGUGUUUCAACCUUACUACACUCAUUCUAUUAAAAUAUGGUUUUGCAAGCCUAUGAAUAGACAUAGUCUACUCUUCUUGUAUUCAUUCGAAUUCGACAUAGUGAGUUAUCUUCUCCUCUACCCAUGGAUUUUUUCCGAAAUGGUUUCCACAUAAAAAUCUGUGUGUUCUUUAUUUUUCUUUCUUUUUUCUUUAUGACACAUUGUCAUUAUCCACAUUCUAUUUUUUACAAGUUAGUAUCAGAGCUUUUCGAGUUGAUUAUCUCGAUCACGAUAAUGACAUCGCUUAAGUAUGAAAUUUUGCUAUUGAAUCGUAACACUAGAUUCGUGUUGUGGCAGGUUAAUAUGCAGGCAGUUCUCACGCAGCUGGAUCUGAAGGAUGCCCUACUAGGGAUAGGUAAGAUUGAUUCGACAUUGAUGGAUGAAGAGAAGAAACGUAAGGAUAAAAAGGCUUUGACACAAUCACAGCUAUAUUUGUCUAGUAAAAUUUUACAGGAUCUAAUGAAGGAGAAGACUAUCGUUGCAUUAUGAAAGAUGUUGAAGCAGCUAUGUAUGUGGAAAACUUUAACCAGCAAGCUACAUAUGAAGCACUAUCUUUAUGCUAAUUGUUUGGAGGAAGGUGCAUCUGUGCACGAACAUUUAACAAUGUUUAAAGAAAUUCUCUUAGACCUUGAGGCCAUAGAAGUUCAGUAUGAUAAAGAAAAUCUAGGGUUGAUUCUACUUUUUUCGUUGCCCCCGUCUUAUUCAACCUUUAGUGACACGAUUUUAUAUAGCCGUGAGUCUCUCACAGUUGAUGAUGUUUAAGAUUCUUUGACCUCGCAUGAUAAGAUGGAGCAUCUUAUGGUUAAACCCGACUCUUAAGGAGAGGGUCUCAUUAUUCGUGAGAGACAAGAUCGCAAUACUGAUGAUGAUCAUGGAAGGACACACAAACGGAAUCCUCGUGGUAAAUCUAAGGGUAGAUUGAAGUCUUCAAACAAAGGUAAAACUUAUAACUUAUACAAGAAGAAUUAAAUCUGAGUGUUAUAAGUUAUAGAACAAGAUCAAAAGGGAGGUUGCGAAUCAAAAGGGAAAACAACCAAAAAAAUCUGAUGAAGCUGAUGUUGUAGAAGACUAUAGCAAUGGUGAACUCCUAGUCGCUUCUGUCAACAAUUUUAAAGUGAGCGAGGAGUGGAUCCUUAAUUCAGGUUACACCUUCCAUAUGAGUCCCAAUCGAGAUUGAUUUACAACUUACAAAAUAGUGUCUGAAGGCGUUAUUUUGAUAAGAAAUAAUACUUCGUCUAAAAUUGUAGGUGUUGGAACAAUUAAAGUUAAUAUUUUUGAUGGAGUUGAUAGAACACUUAGUGAUGUGCGACAUGUUCCAAAAUUGAAGAGAAAUUUGAUUUCAUUGAGUACUAUUUAUUAAAAAGGCUACAAAUACACAACUGAAAGUGGGGUUUUGAAGAUUUCCAAAAGUUCUCUCGUUGUGAUGAAAGGGCAGAGAAGGAUUGUCAAGUAUAUGUUUUGCAGGGUUCUACUAUUAUUGGUGAUGCAACUAUCACUUCCUCUUCCUUGUCAGAUGAUGAUGUUACUAGACUUUGGCAUAUGCGUCUAGGGCAUAUGAGUGAAAAUGGCAUGGCAGAAUUGAGCAAAAGAGGACUUCUUGAUGGGUAAGGAAUUUGCAAACUGAAAUUUCGUAAGCACUGUGUUUUUGGGAAGCAAAAGAGAGCUCAAUUCCAUAACACAAAGGUAAUGUUGGAGUAUAUUCAUUAUGAUAUAUGGGGCCAUCAAGAGUGCAUUCGAGAGGUGGAGUUAAUUAUAUGCUAACACUUAUUGAUGAUUUUUCCAUAAAACUUUGAGUGUUUUUCUUGUAGUAGAAAAGCGAUGUGUUUUCUGCAUUUAAGUCUUGGAAAACUAUGAUUGAAAAAUAGAUAGUAAAACAAGUAACACAUGUAACAGCCCGAUUUUGGGUCUAGAUAGAACAGUGAUUUCGGGACCACAAAUCCGACAAGGAAAAAUUUAUUUUAAAAUUAUGACAUGGGUUGCAUUAUGAUAGGAAGGUUGCAUGCAAAUGCUGAUAUGAAAAUUUUAUCGAUUUAGUGAUUAAUUAAGGAAAUGACCUAUUUGUAUAAAAUGUAGAAUUUGAAUUCUAGAAGCUAGAAGGGUUAAUUAGCUAUGAAAUUGUAAUACCCCGAAAAUUACUACAGUAAGAAAGUAAGAUAAUAUCUCUGAUAUGGUGAAAUAAGGAAAUAAAGAGAUAAAAAGGGGAAUUGAGUUAUGUCAACAUUGGAAAGUAUAUUAUGACAUAUUGAUUCAAGAAAGGAUUAAAUUGCAAAAGUGAGAAAAGUUUUGUUACCCAAGAGUAAAUACUCAAAAUUUAAGGGGUUAAAGUGUAAAUAUGAAAAAGUUGAAGGACCAAUAGUGUAAAUAUUUUAAGGGUGAAAUAAUCUAGAAACUAAGGAAGAUGGAUGAAUUGGGACCAAAUUGAAUGGAUGAAGAAUUAUGAGGGACUAAAUUGUAAUUUUACCAAAUUAAGUGAUGACUCAAGGAUGGAAUUUUAAAAGAUCUAAAGGGAAAAAUGGUCAAUUAGAAGAAAGAGAAAUCUAGAAAAUAAUGAUGACGUUGGAGAUAUUUUAGAUUAAAUAAAUAAAUAUUAGUUUAUUAAUAUUUUAAUUUGAUUUUUAAAUGAUAUUUUAUUAUUUUAUUAUUAUUUCAUUUAGUGAAUAUUUAUGGAAGAAAAGAUGAAGAAUCAUCAUCUUCUUCCCCAUGCAACUAACGUAUGAAGAGAAAAGAAAGAGAGAAACUUUCUUUUCUUUACAAUUUGGUCCUUUUACCAAAAAUUCACCAUUUUCACUUAGAAAUCAAAAGAAUUUCCAUAUUCAUCAAGAGAGAAAGAUAACAGGGAGACUAUGGGGAGCUAGAAUAUCAAGUUAGAUUCAAGAAAUAGAAGCUGGAGGAAGGAGAAAAUCAAGUUAAAGAUUGAAAUCAAUGGCAUAAGGUAAGAACAUCAAGAUUUUUAUAUACUUUUGAGUUUGAUAUUAUUCAAAAAGUAGGAAAUUAAUGUUAAGGUAGAGUUUCAUUAUAUAAGGCUCUAUAUUCUUGUUAUGUUAGUAAAGGGAAAUAAGAGAAAGUGAUGGAAAAUAUUGAAGAGAAAGGAAAGGAAAGUGUUAUAAAUUUAGUUAUCAACAUUUUACACUAAAAUAGUUUUGAGACAGCAGCAGUAGUCUGAAUUUGAAAAUCUAUCAAAAAUCGUAUAAAUGGAAUUAGAGGAUGAAAAAAAUAUGAAAUUAAAUUUUAUUGAGUCUAGUUUCUCAUAGAAGAAACGGUGUAAGCAAUGCAAUUUUAAAUUAUGAGAUAUAAUAGGUUUUGUGAGAUAAGGUCAGAAUGAUUUCGGGUUCCCUUGUACUGAUUUUGGAAAAUCAUUAAAAAUUUUAGAAAAAUAAUUAGAGGAUUAAAUUUAUAUUUUUAAAUUCUUAAUGAGUCUAUUUUCAAUAGAAACAAACGGUAACAUCAUUCGAAUUCUGUUCGAGGAGAUAAUUAAUUUUUAGUGAAGAAGGGUCGGAACUGUCAGACAGCAGAACAGGGAUGACUUUAAAGAAUAAAAUGUACUUAUUCGCUAAACCAAAAAUUCUGAAAAUUUUAUGGUAAGAAGAUAUGUGAGUCUAGUUUUAGAGAAAAUUAACAGAUCUUAAUUUGGAGUUCUUUACCUCAAGAUAUAAAUAAUUUAGUGACUAUGACUCAAGUGGACAACUUUGAAUGAAUAUAUAAGUAAAUGGUGAAAUUAUAGAUAAUGUUACCUAUAAGCAUGUUAUAUACAUUAAGGAUGUGGAAUGGAGAGGAGGAGGAGAAAAAUAUAUGAUUAUUCAACUAGAAUGAGUUUUCAUUAAAAAUGACCAAUUUACAUGUUUUAGGUUCAGGGACUAAAUUAAACAAAUGUGAAACUUUAAGGGUAAAUUUGUAAAAAUGUCAAAAAGUGACCAAAUUGCAUGAAAUGAAUUUUUAUUAUUAUUUAAAUUAGUAAAUUGAAUGAAAUAUUAAUUUAGAUCAAGAUUGGGUGGAAAUUCGAGAAAAUAAAAAAUUACCAAAAUGUCCCUAAAUUUUGGUAUUUUUGCAAUUUAGCCUGGUAAGUUCGUAUGAACUAUAUUCUGUAUAAUUUUAAUUAAAUUAAAUUCUAUUUAAUGAUGAAUAUUAUAUAAAUAUGUGUUUUAUUAUUGAAAUUGAAUUAUUAUUGGUAAUAUGUUCAAUUAUUAGAUGCAGUGAGAUAAUUAUCAGAAGCUCGAUUGUGGUUGGUAGGAAAUGUUGCAUUAUUUAUAUUGUGAAGAAUUAUAAAAUCAUGUUAAUAAUUUGAAAGUUUUAAUAAUUAAUGGAAUUUUAUAACUCGGUUCAAUACGUUUACAAGUGUAUGUGUUCUGGUAAUGCCUCGUACCCUAUUCUGGUGUCGAAUAUGGGUAAGGGGUGUUACAACACACCUCUACACAAACAAUGGCUUAGAGUUCUCUUCUGAUAAGUUUAAUAAAGUGUGCAAGUUAGAAGAGAUCGUGAGACAUUUGACAGUUUUUCAUACUCCACAUCAAAACGACGUUGCAUAACGAAUGAACAGAAACAUGAAGAACGUUCGAUGCAUGUUUUCAAAUGCUAACAUACCAAAGUUGUUUUGGGACCGAAGCAGCCUCUACUGCAUGUUCUUUUAUCAGUCUAUCUCCAUCCAUUUCCAUUGAGAAAAAGACUCUACAAGAGGUAUGGUUUGGUAAUCCUGCUGAUUAUUCUGAUUUAAAAAUGUGUUUUUCUUGGUUAUAAAGCUGGUGUAAAAGGGUAUAAGUUAUGGUACCCUAAAAAUAGAAAAUUUGUGAUUAGCAGAGAUUUUGUUUUUAAUGAAGCUGCUAUGCUACCUAACUUAUCUCUUAAAGACUCUUCCAAUAAAGAAUAGCAAAAGCAGGUGAAGCAUCAGAUUAAUCCAGAACAUACAAUAGAGCCGACUCCUCAAGCCAGUAAAAAAAUUUAGAAUAGAGUUGUUUCUUCACCACAAUACUCUAUCGCCAAAAAUAGAGCUAGAAGAGAGAUUAAACCUCCAAAGAAGUAUGCCAAGGCUAAUCUAGUUGCUUAUGCUUUAAAUGUAGUUGAAGAUAUAGAUACAAACCAAGAACCAUCUAAUUAGUCUAAGGCGAUUAGCUGUGAAAACUCAAAAAAGUGGAUAUUUGCUAUGCAAGAGAAGAUAGAAUCACUCCACAAAAACAAAACAUGAGAUCUUGUUAAGCUUCCUAAAGGCAAAAAGGUUGUUUGUUGUAAAUGGUUGUUCGUUGUAAAUAGGUGUUUGAAAAGAAAGAAGAGACUUAAGGAGUUAAAGAACUCGAAUAUAGAGUAAGACUUGUUGCAAAGGGUUACAGUCAAAUUCCAGGUAUGGACUUCACAAAUGUGUUCUCCCCAGUUGUGAAGCAUAGUUUGAUUCGAGCUUUGCUCGGUAUUGUGGCCAUGCAUGAUUUGGUACCAAGACAGUGGUACAAGAGAUUUGAUUCCUUUAAGACUUCUCAUGAUUUCAAAAGAAGUAGCUUUGACAGUUAUGUUUACUUUAAGAAAAAUAGUGAUGAUUCUUUUGUGUAUCUACUCCUUUAUGUUGAUGGCAUGUUGAUAGCAGCGAAAGAUAAAUGAUAGAUAAGAAAGGUCAAAGCCCAACUAAGUAAAUAAUUUGAGAUGAAAGAUUUGAGACCAACAAAGAAAAUACUUGGUGUGGAGAUUCUCAGAGAUAAAAAAACAAGUAAAUUGUACCUAAGUCAGAAGGGGUACAUUGAGAAAGUUCUUCACAGGCUCAAUAUGCACAGUGCUAAGCCUAUUAAUACUCCUUUAGCAGUCUAUUUUAGACUUUCAUUAGCCUUGUCUCCAAAAUCAGAUGAUAAGAUUGAGUACAUGUCAUAUGUUCCAUAUUAUGGUGUAGUGGGAUCUCUCAUGUAUGCUAUGGUUUGUUCACGUCCAUAUUUAUCAUAUGCAGUCAGUGCAUUUAGCAAAUACAUGGUGAAUCCUGGUAAAAACACUGGAAAGCAGUUCAGUGGAUUUUCAGAUACUUACGAGGUACUACUGAUGUUUUCUUAUAGUUUGGAGGAACUACAGAUGGAGUCAUUGGGUAUGUUAAUGCUGGUUUUGCUAGAGACUAUCAUAGAAGAAGAUCUUUCACCAACUAUGUAUUUACAAUUGAAGGUUGUGCAAUUAGUUGAAAAGCCACUAUGCAAACUACAGUCACUUUCUCUACUACUAAAGAUGAGUACAUGACAAUUACUAAGGCUUGUAAAAAAGCCAUUUGGUUGAAGGGACUCUUUAGUUAACUCAAUGAAGACCUUCAAAUCAGUACAGUAUUUUGUGAUAGUGAAAGUGUCAUCUUUCUUACAAAAGAUCAAAUGUUUCAUGAGAGGAUAAAGCAUAUUGAUGUUUGGUAUCAUUUUGUUCAUGAGAUUAUUGCUCGUGGUGAUAUUGUUGUGAGCAAAAUUAGAAUCAUGAAAAUCUUGCAGAUAUGAUGACUAAGUCACUUCCCAUAACCAAGUUUAAGCAUUGCUUAGACUUGGUUGGUGUUCAUUGUUGAAAAAUAUCCCUUAAGGGGUUUCAUGGAAGAGGUAAAGAACUUGUUCAUUGAGAAUUCAUGUCAAGUUUAAAGAUUGUUAGAAUUGAGUGACCCAAAUCCUUGUUAAAAUAAAACACAGUGGUAAAAUAAAAUAAAAGUAAAUUCCAUAUAUAACUACACUUCCUUUAUUUUAUUUUAGAAUAAGGUUUUUGAACCUUAUUACACUUCAUCUAUUUGAUAUUGAUUAGAAUAAGGUGUUUCAACCUUACUACACUCCUUUAAUUAGAAUAUGGAUUUUCAAGCCUAUAAAUAGACAUAGUCUACUCCUCUUGUAUUCGUUCGAAUUUGACCUAGUGAAUUAUCUUCUCCUUUGCCCGUGGUUUUUUUCCCGAAAGGGUUUCUACGUAAAAAUCUACGUGUUCUUUAUUUUUCUUUCUUUUUUUCUUUGCGAUACAUUGUCAUUAUCGAUGUUCUAUUUUUCACACCAACACUAAGGAGAAGCAAAAGUUCUUAGUAGUUACUUGGAGUGACAAAGAGGAUGAAAGUGAAUUUUUAGACUCUAAAGAGGACAUAAAUAACUAUGAGGCCUUCAAUGCUGUUGUUCAAAGUCCUAUCUAGACAGGUUAUGAAACAACUGAAGAACCUGAUUGUGACAUUGGAACACUUGAAGAUACAUAUUUCCAAAUGAUCAAAAAAUUAAAAAUUGUGUGUCAAAUAAAUGAUGACUUCAGAGAAAGAGUGAGAAAUUUGAAGGGAAAAAAAAGGGAAGUUUGAAAGACUAGUGCAAGAGAAAGAUGAGGUUUUAAAGAAUACUAAGAAAGAGCUUACUAAGAGUCUGAAGUUAUUCUAAAGAGGUUCAGUGGGCAGAGUGAAAAGCUUGAUGAAAUCUUGACCACAAUGAGAUUCGAGCUUGGUCAUAAAGGGCCUUGGUUAUCCUUUAGCAAGUAAGAAAGUUGAUCCACCUACUGUGUUUGUUAAAGCUACUGAUUCAAGCUUCUAAGGUCAAAGUACAAGAUGUAUAAUUAAUUUUUUUAAAGCCAAAAAUAUUAUAUUAAGUAACUAAAAUAUUGUAAAGCUAGUCAAUAAUAUAUAACAAAUAACUAAUGCAACGGGAUGGGAUUGCAUAAUUGUAACAUCAAAAAGUAGAAGAAAAUUGAUAUUAUACCUGUUAAUUUGUUACCAGAAAAAAAAUCCUCUCGAGAGAAGUCAUGUUUUCAAUAACUAAGGGAAUUUCACCUGAAACAUAUAAUUAAAUUGAGUGUACGUAGUGGUAAGAACAAAUAUAUUUGUGUUUGUAUUUUGACAAGUGCAUAAUUUCUCAAUUAUUUACAAUAUUUCUCCUUUUGAAUUAUGCUAUUUAUGUUCUUAAUUAUAUUAUAUAUGCUUAUAUUUCAUUUAUUAUUAAGUUAGGAAAUACUUAAAGAUAAAGGAGCUUAAAGAUUUUUUUUGACAAGUUUUUGCGGUUUGAACUUUCAACACAGUGCAACUUCGGUAUUUUGGUUGUAACUGUUACAGACUUCCAUUUUGGACCCAUAAUAUAUCAAUUCGAAGGAGAUUAAAAGAUCUAUCUAAAUGUUAUCAUAGAUGAAGCCUAAAAAUGUCAAGAAGGCUCCUAAAAGUGGUCUGGCAGUUUGAAGCGAAAAUUGCCAGGAAAUCUUGAAAAUUUUUGCAUUAAUUAAUUAGUGGAACUUUUGUAUUUUAUCUAUUAUAUUUUUUCCCAAUAAAUAGAUAUUAUUAGGUUAAAACAAGGUAGAGACCUAGUCAUUCUUAGUUUUAUUUUAUUUUCUUUAUUUUAUGGAUUUCUAAAUCUGCCUUUAUAGUCAAGGGUUUUAUCGAAGUUUGAUUUAAUAAAUUCGUAAGACUUAUUUGUGCUUUAGUUCUUCUAUGUUCUUUGGUAUUUAUCCAUCUUCUAUUUCAAUUACAAUUUCUCAAGUUUAUUAAGUAUGUGACCAGUAUUCAAUAGCUCAGAACAAUUGUCUAGUCAAUUAAAAUAGUUAAAUUUGUAAUUGUUUAAUUCAUUCUAAUACUAGUGACAAACUGCAUAACUCGUUUAUGUUGUAGUAUGUGAUUAUAUGGUGUGUAUGUGUGAUCUAGCUUAAAUGAACCCCCCUCUGAGGUGAGUUUGUUGGUUAGAAUUAGGUCUUUCUCAUUCUUAAUGCUAUCGGUAAAUUAAAUCUUGGACACUUAGUUACAAGGUUAUUUAUCGGUUAGGGAACUAAUUUCAAAUGAGUUGCUUCCUGGUUACCAAAUAGAUAAGGAGAGAUUGGUUGUUCGAUACUGAGUUAGUAGCUAGAACUAAUUUAUUAAAGGUAUUGAAGUUAUCCUUGCGUCAAUGAUCGAAUCUAUGAAUCAAACGGAGAUUUCAUCUUUGGCUAGAGUUUUUCCACAUUGAUUUUAUUUUAUCUUAUGAUAUUUUUUUUACUUUAUUUAAUUUUAAUUUUAAUUUUUUAAUUCUAAACCCAACCUUAUUUGUUUUUCUUGUUUAUUAAGAAAUAAAAUUAUUACCAAUCUCUCUAUAUAUGAUCCUAAUUGUUGCUUUCUACUAAUUAUUAUAUUUUCAAGUUAAUUUUAUUAUUUGUAGGUCUCAUGUUUUUCUAAGCCAAAAGCAUUGUAUUAAGAAACUAAAAUAGAUUGCAUAAAUUAAAAAAAAGAAAAAAGAAAAGAUUAUACCUGUUAAGUUGUUAAAAGAAAAAUCUAUGAUAACAAGAGAAGUGAGUUUUCCAAUAACGGAUGGAAUUUCACCUGAAACAUAAAAUUAAAUAUAUUAAAAUUUACUAAUAUUUUUCUAGUAGAAUUUCUGCAUCUGUUUCUUCUUUUCUAAACAUGUAAAUUUCAUUCAGUUUUAUAUUAUUUAUAACAGCAUCUAAUAGUUUUAAUAAUUAUGAAGAAACUCAAAUUUUAUAAAUCCCUAUCCCAAGACGUCAAAAAAGUUUCAAGCACUGAACACGAAAAUACCAUAUAACACAAUUCAUAGGUGUAGAGGAGGAGGAUUAGAUACUCCAGCCGCAAUCAAGAUAUCACCAAAAAUCUCAAAAAUCAACCAAGACAAUGAAAUUCAUCACUUCAAUUCAUUCCAGUCGAGAGGGCAUAACAAUUGUGGAUGAACAAUUUUUUCCAUAAAGAAAAUCAUAGCUAUAUUCCGUUAAACAUAAAGAUGACAAUUACAAAACAGGUCACUCUUCUACAACCACGUAUAUAAAGCAAACAAGAUAUAUGGAUGCCAUUUUUGCUAGGAAAUCAACAACCAUAUUGUACGUAAGGACAUAUUUUUGAAAUUUUUACGUGUAUAUGAUAUCAACACCAACUUGACCUUGAACAAAUUAUCAAAUCGUGGGCAAAAAAUUUUACCAACCAAGGAAAAAUAAGAAAAACAUUUUUCAUUGAUGUUGAAAGAGAUCUCUAUAGUGUCGUGUAAUGACAUGUUGAAUAGGUUUAGGGUGUUGGUCAACCGUAUUGAUGACAAAUUUGCUAUAACCAUAUUUUGGACGAAGGUGACUUGUAAAAACCAAAAGGAGAAUUCGAAUGCAACAGAACAUGUAUCAUUUUUUUUUAUAUUAUGCAUGUUCGUUUUAAGGUUCAUGUUCGGAAUUUAUGGUUGUCUCUCCCAAUAAUAUUGUUUCCAAAGUUUGAACCUACGUUCUCCCCAUAAGAAUGCAAUGUGUCAUACCAUUGCUGUAAUUUUGACAUUAAAGUUUUAAGGAAUUUGUAGAUUCUAAGAGAACAGGGAUUCAGGAGACGAGCAGUAAAGAAACUAGUAAGAACUUAGAUGAUAUGAGCGCUCUCUCUUUCUCUCUGUGCAUUUUUUUUUGUCUUGAACAUGGUUUAAAAAAUCAAUUCAAGUCUAAAUAAUUUUGGAAUAGAUUCAUUUGAGUUUAAUAUUCAAAUAAUUCAUAUUUGGAUCAUUGAAUUUAACUAUUUUUAAAUCAAAUUAUUGAAUUUUCUCCCAUUUAUCAGUAUUUCCUACAUUUUCUAAUGUCAAAAUUGUUAAGGUACCAAAUGAAUAGUAUUAUAUUAAGAAACCAAAAAAUUAUAAAGCUAAUUAAUAAUAUAACAAAAUUCUAUUGCAACUAAAAGAGAUUUGCAUAAAUGUACCAAAAAGAAAAGAUAAAACUACCAUACUAUACCUGUUAAGGUGUUAUAAGAAAGAUUGAGUGUAAUUAGAGAAGUCAAAUUUCCAAAAACGACUGGAAUUUCACCUGAAACAUAUAAUUAAAUAUAUUAAAAUUUACUAAUAUUUUUCUACCAUAUCCUCAGUUUCUUCGUGAGCACUAUAGGCGUAUGCUGUUGUGUUUUUUUUUUUAACAUGUAAAUUUCAUUCAAUUUGAGAGUACUUAUGCCAGCUCCAACUAAUUUUAAUUACUCAGAAGAAAACCGAAAUUUUAUAAAACCCUCUGCCACAAAGCCACCACAAGAGAUCACUAGAAAAAAACUGAAGCAUCCAAAAAAUCUAUCGAGCACUGAACUCGAAAAGACAUCACCAUCAAUAUGAACAAACAUUAGUUGUAGGUUAACAAAUAUGAUAUUCAUCACUUCAAUUAAAAAGUUCUAAGGAAACGAAAGUGCAAAAUCUGAAGAGUUCAGUUAAAGGCUUAAAACGAGUCCUUAUAAGAUGGCAAACCUGACAAGAGGAGUGAAGUCAUACUUGAUAAGAUGACUCAAUUGACACAAAAACAAAUAAAGAUUUACUGUAUGACUAAGUUCAUUUUUAUUAGCAUUAAACUAAAUAGUUAUUGUUUAAUUCCAUACUUCAAUAUUUAAAACAAUUGUUGAUUGAAAUUAUAUAAGAAAAAUGAAUAAAACAAUAAUGAGGAAUUGCUUACCCUUGAGGUUGUUGUAAUCAAGAUAUAAAUCUUCGAGCGAAGUCAAAUUUUCAAUCUCUCUAGGUAUACUUCCCUCCAAAGCGUUGUUAUAUAAUGAUAAAUACGACAGCUCUUUACACUUGAAUAAACUACUUGGAAUUUUACCGAAAAUCCGAUUCCAUUUUAAGUUAAGUACUUGCAAUUUCGAAAAGUUAUCAAAUAUUCUUGAUGGCAGACAACCUGCAAUGAAAAAUUUGUUAGUUGUCAAACCAAUUUUUUUGUGGAAAAAUACAUUCAAGAUAAUCAAAGUUUUCCAAGUAUAACCAAGUCAAGUUUAAAAGAUUUCCAAGGCAUAUGCGUCUAAAAUAGUUGCUUACAUUAAUAAUACAUAAAAUGUGAUAUUGUACCUGAUAAAUUGUUAUAAGAAAGAUCGAUGUAAAGGAGAGAAGUCAAGUUUCCAAUACUGGAUGAAAUUUCACCUGAAAUAUAUAAUUAAAUAUGUUAAAAAUUAUUAAUAUUUUUCUAGCAUACCCAUGGUUUCUUUGUUGAGUAUACUAUAGGCAUAUGCUUUCUUUUCCUCCUUUUUUUUUUAAUGUAAAUUUCGUUCAAUUUAAUAGUACUUAGAUAGCACCAAACAAUUUAAUUAUAAUGAAAAGAAACCUAAAAUUUAUAAAUCCCUAAGUGGAAAAAAAACACCACAAGAGAUCACAAAAAAAAAGGGUCACUAUAGUUUCGUUCAAUGAAGAACUCAUACUUGUAAGAAUAUAGGGAAGUUUAAAAAAUUGGGUUCAUGGAAUCUGUUUUAGUGUUCAUGCUAAUCAAAAGGUCUCUAUGAAGUGUGCAUCUUCAUUAGAGGAGACUGGCAGCAAAAAAUGGAUAGAAGGAAACAUGUGCCUCGAGAAGCAAUUAAUGCGGUGGCCUUGGAAAAUACUUGUGGUACCAACAGUAGUCAAGAUUUGUUGUAGUCUGAUGUACAUCCGGAUGGAUUGAGGCAGGGAUAGGGAUCGUAAUGCUUUGGAACAAAUUGAAGGAGCCACCGUUAGUGGUAAAGGCAUCGGGGAUGAGAUUAUAAAGGUAAUUAAUAAUAUAUAACAGAGUGCCACGAGAAAAAAAAAAAAGAUUGCAUAAUUGUAACAAGGAAAAGAAAAUCAAUUUUGUACCUGUUAAGUUGUUCAUAGAAAGAUCAAUGACCUUGAGUGAAGUCACGUUUCUUCUAGUUGAUGAAAUAUCGCCUGAAACAUAUAAUUAAAUUUGUCAAAUUAAUUUGGUGAUAGAAUUAUGUUUUGUUUUGUUCAGUAUAAUAGUGCGAAUGAGUAUCUUUGCGGUAAGACCUAUAAUCGUAGCUAGAACUCUCUGAAAUUUUUAAUAUUUUCCCUCAAACUUAUAAUUAAAUGCUCUCCAAAUAUUGAAUGAAGUUUUUGGAUUUUUUCCCAAAAAGUUGACGUCCAAAAAAGUCAAGAUAAAGUAAUCAACCAUAUUCAAAGAGAGAUAACCAAAAGAUUUUUUGUAUUGCACUGAAAUAUUUUGCUACUGCAACGGAAAAAUGUUAAAGAUUGAGGAAGGAACAGAACCUGCAGUUAAUAAUAUAAAUAUUCAUUAACUGACAAUUUAGACAAGGGGCAUCACUAUGAUAAAAUUCCCACAUGCAAUAAAUAACAUAUUUUGAACUAAAAUUGCUGACAUGACUAACAAUGGUACUUAUUUGACAUCAAAUAAUCGGCUGAGGGCUGAAUCGGUUCAAAUUUUUAAAAAAUAAAAUCGAGAAAGGUAUGAAACCUAAAAAGAGUUACCAUUCAAAUAUACCGAUAUCAAGUUUGAAAGAUUUUCAAUCGUUCUAAGAAUUUAUCUUUUAAAAUCGUUGUUAUACAAUAACAAGUGUUCUAAUUUUGACAAAUUACCUAGAAUAGAUGGGACAACACCAUUGAAGUAGUUAUCGGAUAAAGAUAGACUUUGAAGUUUAGGAAAGUAACCAAACCAUGACGGGACUUCUCCAUUGAAACUGUUGUUAUUAAAGUUUAAAUAUUUCAGACGAUAUAAAUUAGUUAGCUCAAUGGGUAAAGAGCCAUGAAAAUUAUUGUUAUGAAUGUCGAGGCAAGCAAGGAAAGAUAAAUUCCCCAAUUGAGAAGGGAUGAUGCCUGUGAGAUCCAUAUUUGACAAAUUCAGAGCAAUGACUCUGUGGUGUCUGGAUCCACAAGUGACACCAAUCCAAUUGCAAACUGAAGUAGAAGUAGACCAAUUGGUUACUAAGUGAUGAGGAUCAUGACUUAUAUAAGAUUUCAGUGCUAGAAAAUUUAAUUCAUCAGCGGUGAUAUUGAGUGAAUUUACAGACAAAAUAGCACCAAAAAUCACCAACAGCGCAAACAUAGGAAAGGGGAGGAAGAUGGUUUUAGCCAUAAAGUUGGGUGUGGGUAUAAAGCAAAUCAUAAAGAGCAAAACAGCUGAAUUUAAUACUUUCGUAAUGUUAGUUGAAUAUUCUUUAAAUACUUCGAUUCCAGCCCCUUCAUAAAUCAUAAUAAUAAUAAUUCAGGCCUCCAAUCGUUGUACAAGUAAAAAGCCGAUCAUAUUCUGCGAAAACUCCAAAUAUAAAAAGAGUCUAAACAAUUAACGUAAGGUGAAAAAUGAAAACCUCAUAUCUACCAUAUCUACCAUGUUGACUAUGCACCCUACUUCUAUAUUUUGUCAUAGAUUCUAGAUCUUAAUAAUUUUGAUAAAAAGAAAACAUUAUCAUUAACAUGUCAUAUCGUAAAAUUAUGUACAUUUUUAAAGCUUCAAUAAAAAAAUUCGAGGAAAAUUUAGAGGAAAUUAAUGAGAGAUUGAAAAGGACACAUCGAUGGAAUGAUCCUGGUUUCAAGAUAAAAAAAAUUAUUUUGUAAACAAAGACCCGAUGAACGAUGUAUAAUGCAAAAGUUGUUCACAUGGAGUAUUAUAAUUCUCAAGUGACGGAAUCCUGCACUCUUGUUUUGUCAUUAUCUUGGUUUUCCACAAAUACAUCCAAGAUUAAGUUUGUUUAUGAUAUUUCGUGUUGCCUUAAAUAAAUGAUCCUAAAAUGCUGAGAAAGAUCCUGCUAACCUAACACAAUUAACUUCUGUCUAUGCUAAUAUGAAUUCUAAUGCUAAAUGUCAUUGUUAAAUGAUGUAUAUACUUUCGUUUUCUUGACUAUACACGACGAUUUUGCAAAUUAGACAAUAAUGUAAUUUUCAAAUAUAAUGUUUUUUUAGCAAUGACUUCAUUUGUUUAUCUAAAAAUGUUUACGAUGAUAAUAUUUUAUUUAUAAAAAUUUUUACCUAACAAUAAUAUAUUGGUUGCAAAUUAGAAUNNNNNNNNNNNNNNNNNNNNNNNNNNNNNNNNNNNNNNNNNNNNNNNNNNNNNNNNNNNNNNNNNNNNNNNNNNNNNNNNNNNNNNNNNNNNNNNNNNNNCAACAAUGUAAAUUUAGAUGCUAUAUCUCUUACAUAACAAUAAAACUAUUGGCUAGCUGUCAAAUAUUAUUUUGUAACAAUAUUUUAAUUGGAUGUGUAUUACUUUAUGCUACGUUUGUAUAUCAUUGUUAAGAAUUUAUUUUAACAACCAUAAAAUGUGGUUGUCAAAUACUUUACGCAACAAUAAUAAUAUGGUUGUUAAUACUUAGAGAUGGCAAAAAAAUACGAACCUGACAGAUUUCAACUCAACCCAAUCGGUUAGGGUCGAGUUUUUUAUUUUUGAAAUCGGGUUUGGGGUGAGAUGGGGUGGAUUUUAAUAUUAAAAUUAGUCGGGGCAAGACAGGUUCAAGUUUAGGACUAAUUUGCCAUGCCCUACCCAUAGAUAUAUACAAAAGUACCCUUGUAUCUAUAACUUUGGGUUUUUUUCAAAGGUUAAACUUUGUCAUUAGUCUUUGUACUUCGUGAAAGUUUUUUUUUAAUCCAUGUACUUUUAUCUGAUUAUUUUUAGUUUCUGUACUUUUCAAAUUUUAAAAAUUCAGUCCUCUCCAAAUUAUAAACUAUUAAUUUCAUUCAAUUAAGUUAUAUUCUUUCCCAACUUUGAUGCGGGAAACAUAUUAUCAUAUGUGUAAUGUCAUGUUAGCUUUUUUUUCACAUAUUACUCACUAAAAAAUUAGUUAAUGGAUUAAUAAAGAUCUUUUGCGUCAAGAUUGAAAUUGCAAAAUUCAAUAAAUAUGGGGACUUAGAAUGAUCUAGUUGGAGAAUAUGGAUUUAAUCUAUAAUUGUGCGCAUUGUACAAGACUAGUAAUUGAACAUAACCAAACUGAUUUAACUGCUACUAUUUGAGUCAAGAUUGAAAUUAACCAAUUCAAAAAGUACAGGGACUAAUAAUAGAAUUUAACCUUUUUCUCUCUUCUUUUAUUAUUUUUCUAAUUCAUGUACAUGUUUUUCUCCUUUCUUCUUCCAUUUCUUUUUCUUAAGUCCUUUAAUUUACUUGUGACGAUAUUAUCAAGUUGUUAGACAACUCAGCUUAUUAUGUUUUAAUGAAAUGUUUAUUAUUGUUGUUCUUAUUUGUUGUUGAGAUGAAAUUGAUAUUUGAAGUUUGAUUCUAGCGGUGUUAAGAGCCGCAUCAAUUCCUUCAUGCACUAGUAAUGAAAAAUGCAGGGAAAAAAAAAUAAAGAAUGCAAGGGAUGUUUAUGUAGUUAGGUUUCCUUAGCUAGAGAAAAUAACCAUUAUCUUAGAACCUCAUACAACAAGUGUUUUCAAGCUCUAAAAUUGAUCAGUUUAGACUUUUCACUUUCAUACCUAAGACCUAAACAUCUCCCCUAAAAAACGUAAGACUCUAACCAAGUCACACACAUGAUUAUUAUAGUAUAAUUCACUCACAAAAUGUCCCUCACUAAACAAAUUAAAGUGCUCUCUCUCUCUCUCUCUCUCUCUCUCUCUAUAUAUAUAUAUAUAUAUAUAACAUAUACAAGUCCCCCCAUAUACAAGUGAAUGAGACUUGCUUACAUACUAAAUCUAUUACAAUCCAUUAUCCCUCCUAAAACGCAAGAUAAAACAAACAAAUAAUAUCUUCUAAAUAGCAUAAGAUAAGGCUUGAAUCAACCGGGUAUCCUUCUUUCUAUGGCUUGAUCUGAUCCAAUCCAUAAGUUAAGGGAUGAUACAAAUCUCCAAGAACUCUUGCUAAGUGAAGUUUGGAUAUUAAGGAUGGGUUGACAGAUAGCCCAAGAUAAUAAUAAAAAACUACAGCCCAAAGAUAUUUGUUAUCAAAAUUUUCCAACGCAAAUAUGACAGUUAUCUAUGUAGCCAGUGCUACUCCUAGUUAGCGCUGGUACAAACACUACCUUAAAAAUGCUUCAACAAUCUCCUCUUUUGACAAAUUUUUGAACAAAACAGUAAUUGACACAGACACACAAUACGGGUAUGACAUGAUACAUAUACGACGACACGAUAAUUUUUUAAAAUUGAGGAUACGGGUACAGCAGAACACGACAAUAAAAUUUUAUAUAUAUUAUGUUAAAAUACUUCAUGUAAAUGAAAAUGUUGACACUUCCCAUUAACAAAUAAUCUCUUCUUCUUUUUUUACAUAAAGCUCUCUAUCAUUACACAAAAUAUGACAUAACAUAAGUAAUACAUUUUCUAAGUUCAAUUUCAUUAAACAAAAUAUGUCAUAACUCAUAACAAAGGUCAUUUUCAAGUUCAAUUUAUACCCUUAAUAAAAAGGCUUGUACAAAAAGAUGCAAAAAGAGAACACUCUCCAAGUUCAAUUCAUAGCAUUAGCAUUUCCAAUCUCUUCAUCAUUGGUAAAAAUUACCAUCUUCGUGUCCAGUUUAUCAAAAGAUAAGCUAGCAACUUCAAGAACUCCAGCUCCUUCAAAUGAGUCAAAUACAUUAUCUCCAAUAUCACAUAGCUUAUCAUCUCCUUUGUAAUGAUGAGUAUUUCUUGAAAGCAAUUAAAGAUUAGUAUGCACAAAUACUAAAUCUAUGGCACGUUGAGGACUCAUCUUGUUUCUCCUCAUUGAGUGGAUAAAAGAAUAUGUGCUUCAAUUCCUCUCACAGCAAGAUGAUGAGUAAGGUUGUCCAAGAAGCUUUUAAGGUUAAAUUUUGAAGCAAAGGUAUCGAAGCCCCAUGAAUUAACCUCCAAGACUUAGGCCCUAUUCUUUAUUGCUUAAAAAAAACACUUCUGACUCCAAAAGUACUUCUGAAAGAAAAGCUGUGCAGAACAAGCUGCUUUUGCCUGAAAUUUUUUAGCUUUUCAGAAAUACUUUUCAAAAUUACUUCUGAAAAGGAGAAGCUAAAAAUUUUAGCUUUUCCUCUCCCAAAAGCAUUUUUGGUGCUUAAUUAAUUACUUUUCACCCUUCCAAUAACAUAGUACUUUCAUUUUUUUCUUGGUGCUUAAUUACAAAUGUGUUAAAAUUAUUAAUUAAAAAUUAAAAAUAUUUUUUAAAAUACUAAUUACAAAUAUUUAAUUGUUAAUAUUUAAAUAUUUAAAAUAUAGUUUAUAUAUUCUAAUUAAAUUUUAUAGAUAAUUAAUAUUUAUUGCUUAAAAAUAUUUAAAAUUUAUAUUUCAUAUAUUAAAAUAUUAACAAGUUAUAAUAAAUUUUUUUAUAUUCUUACUAAAAUAUAAUAAUAUUAACUAAUUUAAAUAUGAUUGAAAUGCAUAUUUUGUUACUUGAUAAUAACAUGUCUAAAAUGGACAUUUUAUUUCUCAAAAGUACUUUUUGACAGCAAUACUAAACACUCAAAUUUUAAACCAAACUUUUCAAAAGCACUUCUCAAAAGCACUUUUCCACAACACUUUUUAAAAACACUUUUCAAAAGCAUUGCUAAACUAGCCCUUAAGAUCCAAAAGUCAUCUAUCUUGUAGUGAAUCAAAUGAAUCAAAAUUAUCAAGUGCUCUCGAAAAUCUAGCGAAUUCUUGAAAAAUCAUCUUCCUUUCCUUGGUAGAAGGAAAAUAUCUUCUUCAACACUAGUUCCUUUCCUCUGAGAUUUCUACAUCCUUAUAUAGAGGAAGGCAAUUUGGUACUUCAUCAAACCAUUCACUACAAUAAUACCUAUGUAAACAAAUAUAAUCAAAUUUUAUUAAUUUAUAAUAAGUAAAAAUAAAUAAAGAUAUAUUUUAUUUUAUAAUAACAACUACCAAACGAAGAUAUGUCAUUAAAAUUUACCUCGGAUUCAAUGAAUGAGCCAUGCAAUAAAGUGAUGUACUAUUCUUAGUCCACUAAUCAAUAAGAAUAUCAUACACCUCUUCACAAAAUAUUGAUCUUUCAUCUCCUUUCUUUCCUUCAUGCUUAUAAAUGUUUGUCUUCAUUUUUUCAAUCAUUUCAUCCUUCAUCUCAUAAAUUAAGUGAAGAUUUAUUAGUUUAAAAAAUUGUGUUAAUUUUACAAAAAAAUUACUAAAAUCUGUAAUCUAUCUAUAAUCUAUAUAAAAGUAUGAUUUAUAAUUGCUCCUCGCAAUCUUUUUAGUUGAUCUCUUUUUUAAUUUUUCCUAUUAAAAUAGCCUUAAAACUUAGUACAAUAAAACUUUCUAAUUUAUAAUUAAAGGGAUUACUUGAUUAUAAGAUUUUUAAAAAAAAUUGACCCCUACUCUUUUAUUGGGCCAAUAUUGUUAUUUAUUAAUAAACAAAAUAUAAAUUUAUAAUUUUUCUUAUAAUUUUAUAAUUUUUUAAAUAAUUUUUAAAUUUUAAAAGGGCUUACUUGAUUUUUUUAAAAAAAUUUUUUCCUAAUGCCUUUUUAACCCUGUAGCUUUAUUAAUUUCAAAAUUUUCUAACUUAUUUCAAAUAAAAGAGUAAGGUCAAAUUGAAUAAAUGUAUAAAGGUUGAGAGUUAAAUUUAUUAUUAUAUCUUGUAUAUAGACUCCAAAUUUUAAUUUGAAUCUAAUUUAUGGUAACUAAUUUAUCUAUUUUUUAAUCAAAAAUUAAAAUAUAGUAAAAAAAAUUUUGUGACACUUUUACCUAUAUCAUAUUAAUAGAUAAAACGAAAUAAUUAACAAAAUGGUUAAUGGUGAAAUCUUCUAAUUGAGUAAAAAAGAAAGCACUAAUAAUUUAUUGAUUUUAAUGAAGGGGGUCUCAUUUAUAGAAACGUGUCUUUUUCCCCUCCCCUGCACAACAUUCAAUUUGACCGCACAAAUUAAGUUAUCCUUUCAAUAAUUAAUUUUAAUUAUAUUAUCCUUAAUCUUCACUCUACUCUUUUAAAAUAUUUAGUGAUUCUCACUUUCAAAUUCGUAAUUAGUGUUUACCUCUUUAAUGAUCUAUAAAAUAUGAAAGAUUAGUCAUUAGACUCGCUCUAAUGAAUAUAUUUGAGAAAUCAAAAAUAGUAAAUUAAGGGUGAGUUUGAAUGGGCGGUGCGUUUACUUACGGUUAGUGUUAAAACAACAAUGGUAGUGAAAUUAAAUAUUGUAACAAUACUGUAACGUGAAACAAGAAGUAAGCUAAACGCACCGCACCUCACCACCCAUUCAAACCGAUCCUAAAUAUAGUUCCUCAUCACCGGACUCCACCUUAAUAUUUCUUUACCUUAUCUAAUAUUUAUUGGAAAAUUAUUCCAUAAAUUAUCUAUAAAAAUUAUUAAAUUUUACAAGUGAAUUGAAGAUUUGACAAAUAUAUAAUUUAAAAAAUAUAUAUAAAUAAAUAAAUCAAAAGUCUUCCAAAACCUGAGUUGACACCAAAAUAGUAGCAUUGGAGACAUCAAAAACAUCCACAAUUAAUCAAAGACCAACAACAAAAAACCAAAUUGACCAAACAAUAUAUCUCCACCACAAAAACCACCUUGCCCACAACCAUGGAUAAAGCCCAUCCCUCAAAGUUGAACUGCACCAAUAAUCCAAAAAUGUCGCAGAGAUCCAACACCGAGAUUCAAAUCAACCAAGUAAAAAUCACAAUCCAAAAUUCAACGGAGAACAACCAAAAUAACACCACACACAAUCAAUUGAACCAAAUAUACAAAGAACACUCCAAACUUCAAUAUCCACAUUCUCUCCUCCAAUCCAAGAAAUACCCACCACAAACUCUGAUCCAAAAGCGAUGCACAAUACACAAAAGAACAAUAAAUAACUCUUAUCUUCAUCACUCAUAAAAACAUGGAACCUCAACAAAACUUAAAAUCAUAUCUCCGCUAAAGAAUGGAUCAUAGGUUUAGAUAGAGUCAUCCUUACGAACGUAACAACUUCACUUCACGAAACAUGAAAACGCAUCUUAUUGCUUUAAAGUUUACCAGUUAAUCUAUCCAUCUCAAGUUGAACUAAAUCAUUGAUAACUUCCUCGUCAUUUCUGUCUUCCCUAAGACCUAACAUUUUACCUAAUUCCCAAGCUUCUAUGGCCUCUUUCAAAAUUACUUUCUUACCAUUCUUGAAAUCAGAAACCGAAAGCGAUUUAAUGGCAAAUUUCUUUAACGAUGUAGUACAAGCCAAAAAUCUAGAAUGACCCUUUCUUUAAACUGUUGAUAUCAUCGUUAAAGGGCUCAACAAUGUAGUUCGUCCCAUCCUGUAAUAGCUCUCAUUGAGCUCAUUAGGAUCAUAUCCAUAUCCUUUUCUUUUGAAGAGCCCAAAAUCAAAUUAUUACCUAAUUAAUUGAUGGAGGACGGACUCUUUGGAGAAAUUUUGAAAAUGUCCUUCGUCAGACAGUCGAUUCAGUUCGCUGACAAUUGAUGGUGUUGACACCAUAUUUUUGAAAAUUAAAAGUUUUAGGUUGUUGGCUUUAAAAAACGAAAAUUGGGAGUCGCCACCAAUCUUUAUUAGGGUGUGAUUGGAUCAUCUAAAAAAACGGCUUUGGUCUACGAGUUUUAGAAAAAUGGAUCCGGGAGUCAGUUACGUAUAAGGAAGGAUUAGCACCCUCAUUACGCCCAAAAAUUGGUACCUAGUUAAUUGAUUAAUGUCUUAAGGUCGAGAAUUUGGAAAAACGUAAUCCUUAGCAAAACUUAAAAGGCUACGUAUUAAGACCCUUAUUAUUUCAGAGAAAGAAGAUACCACACCCAAUGCGUUAGGGCACAGCAUUCUAAUUUUCCCCAAAAAUGAAUUGGGCCAAAAUACUUGUGCAAUAAAACUUUAAAAGAACAUCCAUUUAUCCAAGAUUUAAGAAAUCACACCCAAUACGUUAGGGCACGAUUCCUCUAAAAUCCCAAACUCGGAAUAUGUCCUUUACUUCAAAAGAACAUCCACUUAUCCAAGAUUUAAGAAAUCACACCCAAUACGUUAGGGCACGAUUCCUUUAAAAUCCCAAACUCGGAAUAUUUCCUUUAUGAUUUUUAAAAGAAAUAUUCAUUUCGAGAAAUCAAUGUGUCACAUCCAAUACGUUAGGACACAACGUAUUGAAUUCCCAAUAAUGAAUUCUUAUUUUUUGACUAAAGAGAAAUGCUCGAUUAUUGGAUUUAACAAAGAAAAUCGGAACCCAAUACGUUAGGGCUCAAUUCCCUUGAAAAUCCUAAAUACGAGCAUUAUCUCAAUUUGGAAAACUUUCUAUUUUUUAAAAUUGAGUAAAAUGAUGUAAUGUUAUGUUGAAUGCAUGUAUAAAUAUUGCAAUAACAAAUAACAAUAAUAAAACGUCAAUUGUAUAUAAAUAAGAUAAACAAAUGAAUAAAUAAAAAUUAAAAAAAAACCAAUGAUAUGCAAAGUAUCAAAAAAAUAUGAAAACAUAAAUCAACAAACAAAUGAACAAAAAAUAUAAAGGAAAAAACGCAUAAUAUAUACAUUGAAAUUUAAAAAAAAGCUAUAAAAUUUAUAUAAAAAAUAUUUAUAUAUAUAAUACAUUUAUGAGAAUAAAGAAAAAUAUAUAUAGAAAUUAUAAAAAUAUGGGUAGAAAGUAUAAUAUAUAUAUAUAUAUACGUACAUAUAUAUGUAAGUUAAUAAAUAUAGACCAUAAAGAUAAUGACUGCAUAUAUGUGUAUAUAUAUAUAUAAAUUAUAAAAUAUGUAUAGAAAGUAUAGUAUAUAUACGUACAUAUAUAUAUAAGGUAACAAAUAGAUACAUCAUAAACAUAAUAAUUACGCAUAAAAACACGCGGAUCCUGAGUCCGGAUCGGGUAUAUGAGGGAUCUUGCCCCCUUAAACGGCACCGUUUCAAUUUUAUUAUAAAAGCAACAUUUUAAAACAAAAAAAAAUCACUUUCUGCCAUAUUUAUAAAAAAACAAAACUUAUGAACCCUAGCCUCCUCUGCUAGGGUUCCAACAGUCAACCACCGCAUCCCCUUCAACCCCGAUCUGAUCGGAGCAAAUGGGGUUUCUCGUCUCCUUCCCGCAAGUAAGUAUUCCUUUUCUUCCUUUUCGUGUAUUUAAAAAAAUGAAAAAAAGAUUCGGGUAAAAUAAAUAGAAAAGAAACUGAAGUUCGAAAAAAACUAUCAACCUUUUGAUUUUUUGAUUGAUCUUUGCUCUUUGGUACUUUAUUUGCUAUGAAAAUAAUAAUUUUUUUUUUGUAUUGAUUUUUGAUCCCCAUUACAGUAUCGUCAAUGGCUUUAUAUAGCCAUAAUAUAUAAAAAAUAUAGAAAUAAAAUCAUGUUUACAUUGAUUUGAUUCUCAAUCUCUUGAUUUCCUUCCAUAUUUUGCUUUCUUUCCUUGUUGUGCAGGUGAAGAUCGGGUGGAGGUGGCUUGCGGCGCUGUUGAUCCUCAAAAACCCUAGGGUUUCCUCAUCCGUUUUGGACCACUGUAUUUGGGCCAUAUUCGAAAUUGGGCCACUAUUUUAAAUCGGUUUGGGCCUUUUACUCGGGACAAAAUCGGGUAUUACAGAUGGUAUUAUCUCCGAAAGAGGGUUUCGUCUCCUCUGCUUUGUCGAGAUUCAGAAUGCCACAAGUGGUUGCCCUAAAGGCUUGGUUCAUAGAGCUCAAGUGGUACCAUAUGUCCUAACAAAUGACCUAUACAACAUAGGUGAGGAGUUCAAACCCCACCAAGAAGAAUUGCUCUUGCUUCUCUUUCUAUCUGUCUUCCUCUCAUUUUCUUAACCUUGUCACUUUGAUGUAUUGUUUGGUUGUGUUUUGCCUUGAUCUAUUUUGUUGUGUUCCUGUGAUGUUAAUACAUAGAUUUUAAGGUUUUCAGCGCAACAUAAAUAUUGUGACUAGUAAUUUGAGUAAGGAAUAAUUACAACAAACGGAACAGCCAAAAAAAAAAAUGGAAGACUUAGCCCCAACUGAUUUGAUGAAACUCUUAUUGCUUCAACGGUCCAUACAUCUAGCAUUAGCCAAGCACACCAUGAUUAAGUUUUUAAUUUAAAUUUGAUUCUAAAAAUAUAUAUAAAUUUAAAAAUUAAAAAUUAAAAUGAUAUAUAAAAAACUUAAAAAAAUUUAAAAUUAUAUUGUGCAAUUGUGAAACAGUCGAAAAUAAAUUCCUACUCAAAAAUAAUUUUACAAAUAGCAGUGAAUAGUAUCAAAUCCAUAGAAAUUGGUGAUUCUGUGUAAUCAAUAAAAAUAAGCAAAUUAAAAAUGAUGGAGAGAUUUUUGUAAAACUAAAAUAAAAACUAGAACUAAACAAAAUUAAAUUUCAAACCUACUAAAAAAAACCAAUAAUCAAAAGUUGGAGAGAAAAUCAAUAAGGUGAAACUUUGGCCAAGGUAAAAUCUCCAUUUGAUUCAUGAAUUUUAUUAUUAAAGAAAAGAUGAUUUUCAGUGUGUUUUAAUAAAUUGAUUAUAGUUUCCAAUAAUCAUUUAGCAACUAAUUCUUUCUUCUUCUUUUUUACUUUUUCAAUAAUUUAGACAACCGUAAUUAAUUAAUUGAUUAACCAAUACUAACACUACAAACAUUAGUUGAUGAACUAAUGCUUCCACUACCACAAGCACUUUGAGAAGAAGUCGCGGUUAAAAACUUAAAAUAUAAACAACAAUAAAAAAGAAAAAUCAAUUUAUGCUUCAAAGUAACAUGAAAUUAUUUAACUAUAUAACACUAUAAAAAUAUGCAAUAAAUUAAAAAUAACCCAUUCACAAACAUAAAAGAAAUGCUAAACAUACCUACUUUGGAGCCUUGAAAUCGGAAAUUUUGAAGUUGUUUAAAAAAAUCAUUUAAAUAUUACGAUUUUUUUAAAUAUUUAUAAAUUAUAUUGAGAUAAUAAUUUAAUUUCAUUUAUUCAAAAUUAUGUUAUUAAUCCAAAUAAUAUAAUGAGGUAACAUUCGGUAUUGGUUAAAUUAACCUAGCGAGGUAACAUUUAAUAAUUCACUUGAUGUUGAUGUUGUGAGAUAAUAAUUUUAUUUAUUCAUAAUCAUGUUACUAUAAUCCAAUUGAUAUACUAACAUUACAUUUACUAGUGGUUGAAUUAAUCCAAUUGAUGUAAUGAUGAUUUAGGGUUUGGUAAUCCAAUUGCUAUAGUGAGAUAUAAAAAUCCAUUUGAUGUAAUGAGAUCAUAAUUUAAUUUAAUCACUUUGUUAUUGGUUGAAUUAAUCUAUUUAAUGUAGUAAAUGCUAUUGGUUGAAUUAAUUCAGAUGAUGUAGUGGGGUAACAUUUGCUAUGACAUAAUAAGGUGGUUUGUCAUUCCAAUUGGUGUAGUAAGAUAUUUAAUAAUUUAAUUGGCGAUAAUUUACUUUCAUUUAUUCACAAUCAUAUUAUUAAAAUAUUAGAAUCUAAUUUAAUCUUAAUUAAUUAAAAUAUUUUGAGCUAACGUUCGUAUAAAUCAAAUGUUAUUAUUUGUAUUUAUUGAUAAAAAAGUUAUGUUAUUUAAUCUAACAAUUAUUAUUUUUACUUAUAUGAUUAAUGUAAUUAACUAAUAAUUUGGAUAAUAUUAUGAGUUUAUAUGAAUUAAAUGUUAUUCGUCUAAUCUCUUUCUUUAUUUGGCGUAUCCCGUGCGUAUCUACAAACAUAUGUCUAUAUUGGAUACUUGUGCGACACCGCUACGAUGAUUAUUUCGAUGUAUCGGUGCUCUAUAGUUUACAAGUUUAGAUCGACACGAACAAAUUUUCAUACUCGAAGCACGUUUUGACAGCUCUUAAAACAACGUCAAAGAAAAAUACUGAUAAAUGAAACAUGUGCUUCUUCUCUGCCUAUAGUGUUGCCUCUGUCAAUAGUAACUGGGUUGCCAUGUGACUCACCAUGUUGAAAUAUACAUGUGCUACUACAGAAUUGCCAUGUGAUGUUUCUGCAGUUCCAAGUGGGCUGUCAUGUGAUGUUCAAAUACACAUGUGCUACAAUCUGGAGUUGACUUAAAUAUAUUUAGUGGGGCCCACAAUCUCGAGUUGACUUAAAUUUUAGUGGAGCCCAUCGUUCUCCUAGUAAUAUUUUAUAUGUUGAGACUUCAAGUGGUUGACGUGAUGAAGAAAGGCAAAAUAUAUGCCGUGAUUCACUCCAGAAUGCAAGUGCAUCUGAUAAAUCGCAAUUGCCAGUUGAUGACUAAUAGCUAUGCCUUCCCAUCCCAUUCUUACAAACAAGGGCUCAAAAAGGGAUUUUUAAACCCACUUUGCUCUUCUUCGAUUCAUUGCAUGUUGUAUAGAUAUAUGUUGUCCAUUGUCAAACUAAUGUUUGCAAAAUUAUAUAAAUAAUUAUAUUAUUUUUAAAAGAUAAUACUGUUUUUUUUUUUUUUACUUUUCUCUUUAUAUAAUUGUGGAAUAAUCAAAUUCAAUAUUAGUGUAAAAUCUGUCAAUGCAUUUCCAUAAAUAUAAAGUUCAAUUGAAAAAAUUUGGGAUUGGAAUAAUAAAUUUAUUUUGAAAGUCAUAUAAUAAUUAGAGGAUUCCAUUAAAGAUUUGUCUACGCGAAUGAUUAAUGGAGAUGGGAAAUAAAAUUAUAUGGAAGUUAUACAACUUUACAGUUAAAGGUCAAAUUUUGCUACUAGUCCAUGUAUUAUGUGUCUGUUAAAUUUCUUAAGUUAAACUAUUUUAUUUUCAAAAUCUUUUACCAUAAAAUAUUAUUACAUAAAUAAUAACUUAUUAGCUGAUAUUUCCAAAUAAUACUAAAAAAAUCAUGGUAUUUAAGAAAAUGAAUUUAACAAUCAUAGUUUGAAUCAAGAUUAAAAUUUUAAAUCUAAAAGUAUAUCGGUUGAAAAGAAUCAAAUUGGAGAAUAAAGACUUAAUUCACAACCUAUGCAUAGUACGAUAUUAAUAGAAAUUUUUUAUCUAACAUAUUUAACCAGUACCGUUGACCAAAUUGACCUAAAGUAUCAAAAUUUGAAAAGUACAAUACUAAAAUUGACUAAAUUACAAGGACUAAAUCUACAAAUUUCGCAAAAUAUAUGGACUACUAGCAAAAUAUGGCCUAAAUAAAAUUACUCACUCUUCCUCCAACUUGGUUUCCAGUUAAAUAAGACUGGCUGUUGCUACUUCUUUCCACACUUCACAAUAAAGUCUUUCUUUUUUCUUUUCACGCUCGCUAGAAUUGAAAUUAUAGAAAGAUUACAUUUUGAGAAAUUAAUUUUCAGAACAAUCUAUGGAUUUCUCUGCUGUGUCUUAUGCUCUCGAAACAAUCAACAAGCUAACACAAGAAGUUACAUCCUUGUGGGGCGUCGAUGAACAAGUUGAGGGCUUAGCAAGUGAGCUGAGAUGGAUGCAAAGCUUCUUGAAAGUGGCAGACGCAAGAAAAGUUGAUCAUGAGGUGAUACGUACCAGCGUUGUUGAGAUCAGAGAGUUGGCCUACGAUGCUGAAGAUGUGAUCGAGACGUUUUUCCUCAAAGUUGCUUCCAAAAGGAAAGGUGGAUUUUCAAAUUGCAUCAAGAGAUCCACUUGUUUCCUCAAGGAGGGAUGCCUGCUCCACCAGAUCAAGUCAGAGAUAGAGAAAAUCACAGCCAGAAUCAAAGUAUUGACUCGACAAUUGAAGACGUAUGAUGUAUCAAAGUUAGGUGUUGAUGGAGAAGGACCAAGUUCUUCAACUGAAAGGCGGGAGGCAAGGCGGCCUUAUCCUCAUGUUAUGGAUGAUAAUAUUGUUGGAUUGGGUAAGGAUAUUGAGAAACUGGUCUCAGUUCUUGUCGAUGAGGAAAGCGGAUGCAAGGUCCUCUCCAUAUGUGGCAUGGGUGGUCUGGGGAAGACCACUCUUGCUAAGAAAAUAUAUAGUCAAAGCCAAGUUGUUGGUCAUUUCAAGCACUUGGCUUGGGCAUACGUUUCUCAAAACUGUCAAAAAAGAAAAGUAUGGGAAGACAUUUUAUCUGAUUUUAACCUCUUAAGUGAAACUGACAAGAAGAUGAAGGUUGAAAAAUUAGCAGAGAAGUUAUCUAGUUUCUUGGAGGAAAAUAAAUGUUUGGUGGUACUCGAUGAUAUUUGGAACACCGAGUCUUGGGAUAGCUUAAAACCAGCAUUUUCAGCAAGGGAGACGAGAAGCAAGAUAUUACUCACCUCUCGGAACAAAGAGAUAGUUUCACAUGCUGACAGUAAAGGUUUCCUAUAUGAGUUGCAG